rnacentral:lncRNA from 1 species
CAAGAAAAUGAAACAACCCAAGUAACCAAAACCCAUGAAACAAUUCAAGAACAACCACCCACUGAGGUUCCUGCCUCAGAACAACCAGCAUCUGAGGUUCCUGCUCCAGAAGAACCAGCCACUGAGGAACCAAAGGUAGAAACCAUUGAAGAACCAAAGGUAGAAACAACAGAAGCACCACCUGCUCCAGAAGCUGAAGUUCAAGUUGAGACUAAGGAUGUAACAAUUGAGACAACAGAGGAAGCUAAGACUGAGGCAGAAAAUGAAGCACCUGAGACAACAGAGGAAAAAACUGAGGAAGUGAAAGAAGAGCCAAUAGCUGAGGGGCCUAAAGAAACUACUGAAAUAGAAUCAGUACCAGAACCAGCAACUGCAGUGGAAGAGAACAAAGCAACUGAGCCAGAAGUUGAAGCCACUGUAGAAGUUCCUACUGAGAAAACUGAGGCUUAAACCUAUACGGCCACUUAUUUGUUUUUGCAUGUUGUUAAGGUUGAAAAGCUUUUCUGUUUUGUUUAUUAUAUUAUUAGUAUUAUUAUGAUGGUAAGCCUUUGGAUAUGGGGAUAUAUAUACCUAUAUGCACAGCACUUUGAUCCACAUAUGCAUACAUGCUAAGUGGUGGAUAUGAGAAAGAAGUUUUAUGGGGUUGUGUAAUGUAUUGAAGUGAGCUAUAGUAGCUAGAGUUUGUGGAUGGUGGUUCCUAGAGGGCUAAAUGAAUUUCUCAUGGUGUGUUUUGUUUCUCUAGGUUUGAAUAAAUGAUAUUUAUCUUUUGUUUUUACAUAAAAUAGUUCAUCUUAUAUUUCUGCUUGUGAACAUGAAUUAGUAGGAUACUUAGGUAUUUAACCAAAAAAAUGUGAGAAGUUUCUGCUUCCAAGACUAUGACAAUCCAAAAUUUUGGAGAAGAAAUAAUAACAAAUGAAGAAGAGGGAGAAAAUGGGUUACAAAAACAGCAAUGUAUUUUUUUAGUAGAUUCUUUAUAUUGUGGGAAAAGAAAGCCAGAAAGAAGAUAAAUUCAAUAUCUCAUACUAUCAAUUUCUUUUUUUUCUUUUCCCAAAAUAAAAGGUAUCCAUUCUAAGUGUAUGAAAACCAUUGUGUUUGCUAAGAAUUCAUUAGAACUAGAUUUGGAUGCUUAACACAACACUAUUUUGCUGUGUCACAUUUCCUACUAAUAGAAAAUAGAUCUACCACUAUUUAUUGAAAAAUUGGAUGUAACAAAGGAGUAAGUAACCUGCAACUUCGCAUAAGAAGUGAAGCUUAUAUAGUCUAUUGUUGAUAAAAGCCAAGUAAUUACAACUUGUACACACACAAUUGCCUUGGCUUGUUAUGCAAGAAACCAGAAAUGUUAUGCACACACAGUGCACUAGAGUUUAGCAGAAGAAGAAAUAGAAGAAAACACGGAAAAUGUAUAUAUGAGUUAGAAGAAGACUUGUAUAUAUGAAUUGCAAUGAAUCUUGUUGUAUAUAUUGAAAAUGUAUUAAACUUCAAUUACAACUUACUUAUCAAUGAUAUUACUUUGUUUCUACUUAUAGCAACUAAACUUUAACUAACUUAACAUACAAGUAGAAACAAACUAACUUCUUUUUAUCUAACAAGCUGAAUUAUUACAAAUCUCUAACACUCCUCCUUAAUUCAGACUUCAUUAACAUUCUUAACUCCAAGCUGCAACCUUAGCUUCUCAAACCUUUCUUUCUUUAAAGGCUUUGUAAAGAUAUCAGCUAGCUGAGUUUCUGAGUUGCAGAACUCUAAUCUUACCUCCCCUUUGCUUACUUGCUCCCUUAUGUAAUGAAACCUUGUCUCUAUAUGUUUGCUUCUUCCAUGAGACACUGGAUUUAAGGCAAGAUUGAUUGUAGACUUGUUAUCCACCAUUAGUAAAAUUCCAUCAUCAGUUUGUACUUGCAAUUCCUUCAAUGAAGACAUCAUCCAAGCAGCUUGACAAUCACACAUACAAGCUGCUAUAUACUCAGCUUCACAAGAAGAUAGAGCAACUACAUCUUGCUUCUUGGAACACCAACUUAUAGGGGCAUCACCUAACUUAAAUAGGUACCAUAUUGUGCUUUUUCUAUCUGUUUUAUCUCCACACCAAUCUGCAUCAGAAAAGCCUAUCAUUUCAUUGUUGCCAUUGUUGUUCUGCUUGAAAGGAAACAAGACUCCAUGCCCUAUUAUUCCCCUCAGAUACCUCAUCACUCUCUUUACUACAACAAUAUGAGAUUGUUGUGGAUCUUCCAUGAAUCUGCUUACUAAACCAACUCCAUAAGCAAUAUCACGUCUGGUAUUGCAUAUGUACCUUAGUGAGCCAAUCAUCUAAACAAUGUUUUCUCAACUGGUUUGUCUUUUUCUUGUUAGUUGAAUAGAAUUCCAGAUUCUGCAGGAGUGGAUGUUUUAUUGCUUUCCAUCAUAUGAAAUCUUUUCAACACAUCAUUUGUAUAUUUGCUUUGGUACAUAACUGUCCCAAGCUUGGUUUGCUUGAACUCAAUGCCUAUGAAGUAUGCUAAUUUGCCAAGAUCAGACAUCUCAAACUCUGAUUGCAUUUGUUGUUUAAAAGCUGAGAUGUCAUUUGAUUCUCCACCUGUUAUUAACAAAUCAUCCACAUAGAGGCAAACAAUGAGAAGAUCUGAGUUGUUCCUGCCCUUUACAUAAACACCAUGUUCUGCAGUGAAUUUCUAUGAACCCAAGUUGUAGCAAAAAUACAUCAAUUCUCCUAUUCCAAGCUCUUGGUGCCUGUUUGAGCCCAUACAAGGCUUUGUGUAGCUUAUACACUAGAUCUUCUUUGUCUCUUAUCUCAAAACCUGGUGGUUGCUUCACAAAAACUUCUUUAUCCAAGGGUCCAUUUAGAAAUGUUGAUUUCACAUCCAAGUAGAAAUAUAAUAAACAAAUUUGACAUACAAAUAGAAAUAAACUAACUUCUUUUUAACUAACAAGCUGAAUUUUUACAAAUCUCUAACAUGUUAUUUCCAUUGAUUUUAGAGAGAAAAUAAUGGUGUCUAAAUCAUAAAACAAAGCAGGCUCUGAUAUUAACUAGAAGUUAUGAUAUUGUUGUAAAGGACAACUUUGAUAUCUUUAAAUUCUUUCAUAUUUUUGAAAUAAUUUCAGAUGAAAAUAUUCAUUAAAGAAAAAAUAUAGUAAACAAAUUUGUGACAACGUAUCACUUUCCAUAUUGACUCAGUUUUAUUACUUAUAAUAAAACGGAUUUAGUCGUCAUUUGUCUUUAGCCCAGAAUUUGAAUAAAAACACAAAUACUGUCUUAUUUCAUUGAAUAUAAAUAAAUCUGUUUAGUUCAUUAACAAUCACUCUUAGAACAAUAACACAGUAAUCCGAGCAGAGAAAGAUAAAUUGUAAGAAUGUCAAAUAGUAAUUCUUAAUAGAUUAUAGAGUAAGAGUAGCACUAUGAGCAUGAUUGUCCAAACUUACUCAUGUCAUGAUGAACUGACAGCUAUUUACUGGAAUGAAUUAUCCUUUCCUUCAAUCCUUUUUCAUUGAUACUUGACCCCAUAUAAACAUUUGACAGAUUAUCAACUCUGAAUUGAUUUGAGGAACAGAAUUAGAGAAUUCAAUUUGAGAAUAGAUAGAAUGAUCCUCUAAACAUGUACAAACAGAAUAGAGAUAUUAUGUGCAGUCAAAACCACUAGCCAAAAUUCAUGUCUAGUCACCAGGUACUAAAAGUGCAACCAAUGUGUUGUUGAGUAUGCUGGGAAACAUAGACUGUAAAAGCAUGUGUGAGAUGAAGGAAGAGGAGAACCUUCCUUUGUUCUGCUGACAUUCUCCCAACAAUCUUACGAAUAACAUAGCCUAAUGCCAAAUCCUGAGUUAAUAUAUAACCCCUUCUCAACGUACUAGCAUUAAAUCCAUUCACCAAGCAACAGACCAACAAAAAAAUCAUGUACGGAUUACAAAUGCACAGGUUAUAUUACAUUAUCUGGUACAAGUGUACAACCAGUUCUACACAAAUUCAUACAUAACAACAGAGACAAACAAAAUUUUCAUCACUUCAUUACAACUAAACAGAUAGGCCCUUUUCUGUGUAUGGGUAUAUGUUAUUCAAUUACUGUUUUCUUGAUCUUCACACUGAGGCAACAAUGUGCAAAACCCAGGCAGACAUGUCAAACAGCCUAAUGGCUUUGGAUGCAACUUACAGCAGUAUUUCGAACUGGAGUACUCUCUUUCACCUUACCUUGGUGAGCCUUUCUUUCACCAACUUCCCGGAUAAAACAAAAGGUGAAAAAGUCUUAGAUCUUCACAACAAUAAGAGUGGCUUGGCUCCUUAUCAAUUCAACAAAUCUAUAAACCCAAUGCAACUAAGUUCAUCAACAGAGAUAACUCAAGAGAGAGAGUCUAUCAUCAGUCCAGAACUCCAAACGACAAGUCAAUUUCAGCUACACACCAUGUGUUCUUCUUGCUAUCUUAUAAUGUCAAUUUGAAUCCUUGAGACAGGAAGUCAUCCCUGUAAAUACGUGACACCAUAGAAGUAAAGUUAACAAGACCACAAAGGGUAAUGUGUUGAAAAGUAAAAUUCACCAACAAAUUUUGAUGGAUCAGCAAAAUAAAAACAGUGUUUUCAUUAAGAGAUGCAUAUUGAAGUGUGUUCAGUAUAGGUUUGAGCCCCCAACAGAAACAACUUCUGGGAGGAGAAAUAUCCCAACCCAACUAAUGUAAGUCGGGGCAGAGUCAAAAGUUUGAUGAGGGAAGGCUAAUCACAAAGGGUGCCUCCAACUUAAUGGGAUCCGGAGAGGGUAGACUACAAGAGGAGAGACUGCUUCCAGAAUUUGAACCCGGGACAUCAAGGGAGGCUAACCAUAUAAAAAUUAAUUUAAAAAAUAAUAAUUUAAGAAGCCUCAGGCCAGACCAGACCAAACAUAAAGUGCAUGAGGAUUUGACAAGGCUGAGAGAGACCAUAUCAUACUCCAGUCCACCAUCCCUCUUCUCCUAUGGUUGUAGGGACACCCAAGCAAAAAAGAUACAUGUUGAGAUUCUUUCUUAACUCGAUUUUUAAAUAUAGCUAAUUUCAUUCAAAAAUGAAAUCCACCAAUCAGAAGGGGCUACUAACCAAUAUUAGAGACUUGGCGUAGAGACAACCAAUGAAAUAUUGACAACAUGACGAACUUAGUUCUAUUUAAAAUUUAAUCCUAUAUAAUUAAUUUGGAUAAUAACAUCAUCAUCAUCCUUAGAUUUAAAUGGGAAACAUGUAGCAUUGACUCCAAGUCAACUACAGAAAUCUACAGAUCAAAUCAUAUUGAAAAAUGAAAAUACAUAGCAUACACAAUACCUUCUGUUCUUUGCAUUUUGUACUCCCAAAUUGUGUUGCUUUCUACCAUUAUCACUCCUUAAUACAGAGGGUGGAACAAGGGUACCCUCACAAAUCAUACCUUCAGUGAAAUGAGGCAAACCAAGUAUUCUAAUAUAAGAAAUUUCUUUACUUUCACGAUCAUACCAAAACAGUUUCCUACGAUUUUGCACCAACAGUACUUUCAAUCCAUCUCUUGAGUAACCUAAAGGCUUAACAGAUUUCAAAGAUCUUAUAUCAUGUGACACUCCUAACACAAAUAAUUUACACCAGCUAUCUUUAGAUCCAUAUUCUCUCAUAACCCAAACAUCAAUUCUCUGUUUCCUAUAAUUCUUAAUCAUACACAAACUCCCACCUAACACAGCCACAUCAAUUUCAAGAUUCAUAUUAUUAACCUCAUCAUUCGCUUUCUCCGGCAACGGAACUUCGUUGAAAUUCUCGAAUCUUAGAUCAAACGCGAUAAUCAAAUCAGGCUGAUCCGGUUCGAGUUUCCUCGUCACAACCCAGUGCAAGUAACCGUCAACAUAAACCCCCAUCGUACGCGCGCAGCAUAGCGCGUAUGGCAUGCUAGGUAAAAUUUUCCAUGAAUUUAUUCUCAAGCUAUAAACCUUAACCUGCGAAUCGAAAGUACGGUCCUGCAAAUUGACGUAAUAAGAAAUUCUAACAAGCUUAUAAUCACCGGACACAGAAUCGUAACCGAAGCCGUAAACACGCGCGGCGAAGAGGAAGUUUUCCGGGCGGAGGUCGUGGUUGAGUGAAGGUAGAAUAACGUAUUUACGAAUCGAAGGGUUCCAUAAAGCGACGUCGUCGGCGACGUUGGAAAUACAUAUGAUACCGUUACAUGAGCCGAGGAGGUUGAUGCGGUUGCUGUAACACAUGAGAGGGUGGUUGAGAAGUAGCGGUGACGUGGCAGCGUUGAGAGUGUUGUUGUUGUGUAGGGUUUGGAGAUUGAGUUGGUAGAGAUCAGAUUGGUGCGAGAGGAUGACGGUGGUGGCGGUGGUGGUGGUGGUGGAUUGUGAUGAGUUGGUGAGGUGGAGGAAGAUGAAGUGGUGGCUGUCGAUGAGAGAUCGGAGGGAUUUGGAGACGGUGCGGAAGCGGAGGAGGGUGGUUGAGGGUAGGUAGGAGAAAAUGACGGUUAUGACCUCGGAUGGAAGAUACGGCAUGUUGUGAGUGUAAUGAAAAGAGAGGGGUAGGAGGGGAUUGUGUUAUUUGAGUAUGAUGGGUUAGUUAGGUUAGGUGGGUGAGUAGUGAGUUGGGUUUGUGUGAACCAGAGAGAAAGAAGGGGACGUGUAAGAAGGGGCAGGUGCAGAGAUAAGGAUGUGCCACACCAUACAUCAACAUGUUUUGUCACAUAGCAUCUACCUUUUCCACAUUACAUGUCAUGGGAGUUAGUAUAGAAAGAUAACAUGAGAAAACUAUAUUGAUGUGUGGAAUCCAUAUGAUGUCUCAUGUGUGUCAUUCUAUGUGUCAUAAAGUGUAAUUGAUAAGAAAAAUAAUUAAUAAUUAAAUGUUUAAUUUAAAUAUAUUUUUUAAUCAAUCACAAUUUAUAACAUAUAGAGUGACAAAUAUUAUAAUACAGUAGAUAUGCUCCUUGAUAGAAAUUUAAUGGGAAGGACAACAAGGGGAUGAUUGAAGAGUAUGUGUUGAUCUUGUAGGUCCUUGUUUGAAAACAAUGAUAAUGCAUAACAAGGUGCUUCCUAUGUGAGUAAAAUAUUGGAUUUUCAUAUAGAUGUGUGGCAUAAAUAUUGUGAGAGUAAUUAUGAGAUGUAAUUGAAAAGGGAGACAUAGCUCUUUGAAGAGUUUCCAUGAACCAAAGAAGUUCAUUAAGAGUUGAACCAAUAGUCUUGUAUUAAAACUCGAUAGAGGAUUUGACUAUUUGUGUUGUUUUUUGCACAAAAGAGACUGAAUUUGGGCCACACUAAAUAAUAAAGGUUACAAUGAAUUUAAAUAAUAAAGGUUGCAAUGAAUUUAAAUAAUAAAGGUUGCAAUGAAUAAUAAAGGUUGCAUGAAUUUCAUGAUAGAGGGGUCACCAACAUAGUGAGAGAUACGGGAAGCAUGCAUGUGGGAGUCAUGUUAAUGGUGAAGUUGUAGGUCAUAAUCCAAGGUUCUUCUAAUAUAGCGUAUGUCAUGGCACAUAUAGCAGCAUGUAAGUGAAUGCUAGUGGAAGCAUGCAUGUACUAAAAAAGUCUGUUAACAUUAAAUGUCAUAUCAAGAUAAGUGACAUAUUAAUUACAAAGAACCAACAAAUUGACAAUAUUAAUGUUGAUGGCAGGGUGAAGCAUAUCUAUUGGAUAGUAAUCAUGCAUGGAGUAAGUCAUGAAUAUAAUAAUGUUCAGUGUAGUGGCGGAUCUUGACCUAAAGUUUAGAGGGAGCAACAAUAUUUAAUUACAAUUUAGAGUUACGAUUAAACAUAUAACAAAAAAUAUAAAGUAUUAUACAUGAUUGUUUUAAAGUUUCAAAAUACAAUACUGAUUCUAAAUAAAAGUAAUUAACAAUUAAAUACGUUAAAGAAAAAUGUAUAUUCAUUUAAAGUGUCGCUCAUUCUUUUAAAGACUUUCAACUUAUCAAUGAUUGAAUCAGGAGUAAAAUUUUCAGUUAUUUCAUUUCUCUGCAAGUAACUCAUUCUAUCUUACUGUACAAUUUUGUUUGAUUGUAUUUACUACUGGAAAUGAUAUUUAUGUAAUAGUUAAACCAAAAUAGUUAAUAUGAGACGGAUAAAUUGAUCAAACAAAUAAUAUGCAUUCACUUCUCGUCAGAAUUGCAGUUAAAUAAGAUAUUGUUUGGAGUUUUCAAACAUGAAUGACUAAUGACAUCAGUAAUAAAAUGUUAAAAUUGACAUAUCAAAUUAAAUUUUUUUAUUCAUUGAAAUCCAUAUGAUAGAAUUUUUGCACAAAAAUACAUAUGUUACGAAUAUUAAAUUGUUUAUAAAAAUUCAUAGAAUCUUAAGACUUUUAUAUCAAAAUUUGACAAAAGUAAUCUAUGAUCACAUAAUCUAUUUCAUAUGUAUAAAAUUAUUAUGAACUGGAAUAGAGGAAUAAUAUUUUAAGCAACAUCAAUAUCUACACUUACAAUUAAACUUAAUUCAUUAUCUAUAAUUUUUAGAAGGAGCACACAAAUUAAAUAAGAUAAAUUUUUUUUGAAAGAAAUUAAAAAAAGUAUGACAAUAAAUUUUAAAAAAAAAAUCAGGCGGCAGUUGCCUCCACCUACUCUCAUUGUUGGAACAAAUUCAAUUACAGGUAAAUGACUUGGAAAGCUUAUAUUCUUGAGGGUAUAUAUUGUGGCAAGAGAAAAUUGGAAAGAGAUAAAAAAAACUUCAAGACAUUAUUUAUGAAAAAAAUAUCUUAAACUAAGUAAUAUGAUAUAGUAUUACCACGACUAUAAAUAAACAUUGAAAUGUCUCGCUUGGAGUUAUUAAUCCCAUAUUAUAUCAAGAAUGUGUUUAGAGCAUGAUACCAAGCACAAGGUGAUUAUUUGAGACAAUAAGGGAUUUUACCAAUUUGUAGAUGAAUUGUGGAUGAGAGAACAUAGGAGUUGAGAUAUUUGUGAUGGUAUCAUGUAGAAAGUUAUUGUUUAUAUUUGUAAUUUAGAGGUAGUUAUAUUCAGAAAGUGGCAUGCAUAAGUUUGAUAAUAGGAAUAAUGUAUCAUGAUAAUGAAUAUAUUGUCUUUUAUAAAAGCCCUUCAAAACUAGUCUCAUUUUAUAGUGAGUAAGAGCAUCUCCAAUGGAGGCCAAUAUUUUCAUUCUUAUUUGGGUCACACACAUUAUUUGAUAAUUUAUUAUAAUUCCCUAUAAAAUAAGAACAACAUCUACUUUUUUCUCACAAUGACAAACAUCAUUCUUAUUCUUAUUUGUGUCCCACAACAUCUACCUUUUUCCACACCACCUACCUUUCUCAUCACUUUCCUUUGGUUAGGAACAACCAAUAAUUGUUCUUAUUUAAGAACAAAAGUCAAGCAAUAAGAAUAGAACAGUGGAGAACAAAGUAAGAAUGUUCUUAUUCCAUUAAGAACAACCUUAAGAACAACCAUUGUGGUUUCUCUAAUGGAGCCAUCGAUGUUCUGUACUUAAUUCUGUAAACCCAUUUGUUUAUGAUGAUAUUGAAAUAAGUCUCCUUGGGUUUAAGUGUCAUGUAUGAUUAGAUUCAUUAGAAAUAGAUGCCGCUUUUUUAGGACUAGAGUGAGACAAGAUGGAUGAAUAGGAUGAGGCAAUGAAAAUUUGGUUGUGGAGUGAACCUAUUUCAGUUUGAAGACUUCAUUUCUAGAUCAUGUAACCAUGUGAUGUAUUUGUUGCUCAUAACCACCAUGUCUUAAUUUUGCAUUUAACAACACAUAUUCAAUUGUGCUCGUGUGUAGAAUGGAUUCAAAUGAUAGGCAGAAGGAAAUCAAUAAUACUAUGUGAAGCAGACGCUGUUAGAUAUGAUAGGUGAAUAUACAUUCAAUCAUGCUUGCUUCAUUGAGCGUUAUUGAUUGUAUGACUCAAAUAUUUAUUAAUGCUCACUGAAAAAAACCACUAUUGUUUCUCACACAUUAAACAAGCUUCAUUGAUCGUUGUUGAAUGACAUAGAUUCAAUAAUACUUGUUUUAAUGAGCGAUGUUCAAUUUUUUAUUCUUAGAGAUUUAAAAACAAAACCUCACACUACUCGUUCAUUUAGAUGAUAAAACUCAAAAAACCUUCCUACGACCCAAAAAACCUUUCCACGUCACUCACAAUCCCACAAAACCUUCACACGACACUCAUCUCCCACAAACUCACAUUCCACUAUACUCAUCUUCCCACAAGACUCACCUUGUCAUGACAUUCAUUCAUUCAACUCAUCUUCCUAAAACACUCACCUUGUCAUGACGUUACAUUGAAGAUACCGAAAAUGAGUUUUGUCCUUGUUGUUAGUUUUUCCCUUUUUUUUAUAGUAUCCUUUGAAAUGACAAAUAGUCAAAGGAUACCAUUAUAACUGAUCUACGAAGUUUUGAUGAAGACAAGAUCUUACAUAGAAGCUUGAAGGCUUAGACAUCUCAACAAACAACAUACCAAGAACUCAAGGUCAUUGUCAUAGAAUCUAUGAUUGUCUUUUUACAUUCUAGAGUCAUAAGAUGAUUGCCUAGUAUUGAGUCUUAGGGUAGGUAAACCCAAGAUGAAGUGUCUCACAAAGAGUCUAAAAUAAAAAUCACAUAAAAUGAGGCAUAACAUCAACACAUGAAUAUAUGAUAAUAAACAAUCAUGCAUUUGCAUUUGCAUUUAGCAUACAUGAUUUUAUGCAUAAAGGUUAAUCACUUCUAAAAUAAUGAUCAUUCAUCAUAUAGGGUGUUUACCAUUUAAAGAUUGAAAAACCAUUUUCAACAAAUUUAAUCGAUUAAACCAGUUUGUAAUCGAUUAAGUCCUAGUGAAAUCCUUAAUCGGUUAAGGAAAUUAUAAUCGAUUAAAUGGAGUUACAGUAGCUAACCUCCCAUGAUUUCUGUGUAUUAAUCGAUUAAGUAAUCUUUUAAUCGAUUAAUCCAUAUCUGAAAGUCUAUUUUCAAAAACUCGUUAAUCGAUUAACAUGACAAUUUAAUCGAUUAAUAUAUGUUAUAUCAGUUAUGAGCUAAGUAUGUUAUUUUGAAACGGAAUCCAUUUUGUUUUUAAAACAGUUUUCUCUUCACCUUCAGUAAAAAAAAAGAACGAAAAAUAUCUGAGAAAAAGAAUCAACGAUUCACUAUGCUAAAAAGUUUCAAAGCUAUCUUUAUGUAUCUUUGAGUUUUCUUGCAUGAGCUUCAAGAGUGAAAAAAGAGAGAAUAGAGAUAAAAGAGAGAAAAAUCUUUUCAUUGAGAAAAACCAUUUUUCAUUCAAUUGAAAACACUCCUUGCAUGAUUUCAUAAUUAGGUCUUAAGGUUGUGUUUGUGAGAUCUUUCUGUCAAGGGUGAUUAGAGCCGAUUAUAGAGUUGUAAUCCGCACAUUCUAGUGUGCAAAGUAACUCGGGGAAAGUUCUGAAAUUGAGGAAAAUUCUCGUGAUGUGUGGUAUCAUCACAGGUUGAGAAUUAAGAGUCUUCAUUAGAUAGAAAGUCUUGAUUCGAGCAAGAGUUUCAGCUGGGGCCAAAUUGCGCGAAAGAUGUGGUAUCCAAGUGGGCAUAGAUAAGGGGUCAAACUGAGACUUGUGGCUCAUCGAUUUCAAGAAGGAAGUUUCCAUCUCGUUGUAUUGGAAGUAUGGUUGUAAAUUAAAUUUCUGAUUAGUGAAGAAAAUCUCCCAGAUCAACCGGGAGGACUAGACGUAGUUUGUAGUGGACCGCAAAUGAACCAGGAUAAAAAUCUUCGAACAAAUUUUCUCUAUCCCUAUCUCUUUAUAAUUUAGUCUUUAUUGCUUCCUGUUUUGAUUAGAUUACUAUGAUUAAUUGCUUGUUGUGUUAAUAUGUUGUUAGUCAAGAAUCAAUCUUAGGAUAUUAAAGAUCAAGAAUUAUCAUGCUUUUUACGAAGGGAGAAAACUAAUUUUAAAAGUAAAAUAAUCAGGAUAAUCGAUUAACGUUCUGAUAAUAAUCGAUUAAGUGAAUUGGCUUUAAUCGAUUAACCAUGUUGAUAAUCGAUUAACUGCAGCAGCUUUGAAUUCUGCGCAAACAUCAUAAAAGCGGGACUGGUGAUCCGUGACACUUAUUCACCCCCCCCUCUAGGUGUAAUCAUACCUUAUUGGUACCCAACAAGUGGUAUAAGAGCUAGUAUAAAUGUGCUAGUUUGGCCGCUAAAUUCGUUGAUCCAAGGGAUUAAUAACUAUAGGUUCCACUAACCCUUUCGGUGGUGAUAGUGCAUCCAUCAAAUGUCCUCCGAUUUUCAGUGGCGAAGGGUAUGCCUACUGGAAGGUGUGCAUGCGAAUCUUUAUAGAGGCUAUAGACACAGAGAUUUGGGACUCUGUUGUCAACAGGCCGUUCACUCCACUUCACUUAAUGGAUGGUGACCCCAAUGAAAAAUCGAAGGGAUUGUGGAUUAGCAAAGAAAGAUGUAAGGUCGAGCACAAUCUCAAGGCAAAGAACAUUAUAACAUUUGUCUUAUCAUACGAUGAAUUCUUUCGAGUGUCAUAGUGCCAAAAGGCAAAAGAAAUAUGGGAUACUUUGCAUGUAACCCACGAAGGCACAAGUGAGGUUAAGCGCGUAAGAUUGAAUGUGUUAACCCAUGAAUAUGAGUUGUUUCAUAUGUUUCCAAAUGAGUCAAUUAAUGAAAUGCAAAAACGAUUCACCCAUAUUGUUAACCAUUUAAUUGCAUUAGAUAAGAGUUUUUCUAUUGGUGAACUUACUAACAAAGUGUUGUGUUGUCUUAAUAGGAAAUGGCAGCCCAAGGUAACCGCAAUUAUGGAGUCGAAAGACUUGAAUACAAUGCCGCUAACAACUCUCUUUAGAAAACUCCAGGAACACGAAAUGGAGUUAGGACACUUAACAAUGCAUGAAGAUUCAGACCGAAAGAAAAAGGGGAUCUCUCUAAAAGCUACAUCUUCACAAUCACAAGAAGAAAGAGACGAUAAUGAUUCAGGGUCUAAACUUGAUGAUGAAACAUUAAACCUCAUGGUUAGAAAAUUUGGGAAGUUUCUCAAGAAGAAAGGAGAGUUUAAGCGCUUUCAAAUGAAAGAGGCAGCUGAUUCAACCAGACGAGGCAAAGCUCCCAAAGAUCGCCUCAUUUGCCAUGAGUGUGGCAAGUCGGACCAUAUGAAAUACCAAUGCCCGAUCCACCUCAAUAAGGUUGAACAUGAUAGAAGCAACCCCUAGGACUUCAAAUCCAAGAAGGCCUACAUUGUGUGGGAUGUCCUGAAGGACGAGACAAAGAGUAGCACAUCCGAUGAAGAGGAGACAACCAAGUUGUGCUUAAUGACAAACAUACAGAAAUUGUCAGCAUAAGCAACCCAUAUAACACAAGUGAGGUAUACUUUUCUGACUUGUCCUCAUGUUCCAAUGAAUCUCCUACUUAAGAUGAACUAUAUAGUGCAUAUGUUGAGUUGCAUGAGGAACGUAAGAAAUUAGCGAAAGUAAAUGUAGAUAUAAAACGAGUCAUCAUGUUGCAUGAAAUUAAGAUAACUAAAAUGCAAGAGGAGUUAAAUGAAUUAAAAUUGGAAAAUAAGACUCUUGAUCUAAUUUACUCUUCUGCCUCAUGUAGUUGUGCCACUAAAUUAAUUGAACCCCCUAUAUAUGACCAAUGCGAUAUAUUAAAUGCUGAAAUUUCUGAUUUAAAAGAUAUAUGGACAAAGUUCACAUAUAGCAUAUAUAACCUGGACAACCUACUUGCUACAUCUAGGAAUGUAGGUAAUCAUAGAGGUAUUGGCUAUAAAUCAAGGAAAAACAGUAGACCAUAUAGAAGGCAAGUAGAUUACAUGCAUAAUAGGACUAAUCAUAAAUUGCCUACUUAUUUCUAUUGUAGUAAACAUGGUCAUACAUCUAUAUCAUGCUACAUUAGGAAAUAUGGUGUGCCUAGUGGUAAUUAUGUAUGGGUACAAAAAGGGCAAGAGUCUUUGAUUACUAACAAGAAAGGACCCAAUAUAACUUGGGUACCUAAACAAUGCAAGUAAACUUGUUUUGCAUGUAUGCCUACGGACUCAGGAACUACACUGGUACUUGGAUAGUGAAUGUUCAAGGCAUAUGACAGGUGAUAGAUAAAAGUUCCUGGAUCUCUCACUAUAUGGUAAAGGUUAUGUCACGUAUGAAGAUAACAAUAGAGGGAAGAUACUAGGCGUUGGAAUAAUUGGAAAUGCUUCACAAGCCUUAAUAGAAAAUGUACUAUAUGUCGAAGGACUAGAGCACAACCUUCUAAGCAAUAGUCAGUUGUGUGGAAAAGGUAACAGGGUAUUUUUUGACUCAAAUUGUUGCAUCAUUCGUGAUGGGGUAAAUAAUAAUGUUAAGUUCAUAGGGCAACGAAUAAAUAACAUUUAUAUGGUUGAUUUGGAUGAUGUCACCACUCUGUUUUCAAAAUAUUUUAUCGCUAAAGAGAGUGACAUUUGGUUGUGGCAUAAACGAUUUGCACACGUUCAUUUGAAACAUCUAGUUAAGUUUAGUAGUGGGAUUACCAAAGCUGAAUUUUAAAUCAAAGACUCUUGUGACACUUGUCAAAAGUGUAAACAAGUGAGGAGUUCAUUUUCAACUAAGAAAGUGAUAUCCACAACAAAGCCUUUGGAAUUACUCCAUAUGAAUUUGUUUGGACCAUCACAAAUUUUGAGCUUUGGUGGUAGCUACUAUGCGCUAGUAAUUGUUGAUGACUACUCUAGAUUUAUGUGGACUUUGUUUCUCGCUGUAAAAACCGAUGCUUUCAAAUCUUUUAAAAAUCUGGUCAAACAACUUUAAAACCAAUUUGAUCAUAAGAUAGUGUAUAUUCACAGCGAUCAUGGUGGUGAAUUUGAAAACCACCUAUUUGAUAAGUUUUGUGAAAAGCAUGUCAUCCUACAUUAGUAUUCGGCUCCUCGAACCCCUCAACAAAAUGAAGUUGUUGAGAAGAAAAAUCGAGUACUAGAGGAGCUAGCCAGGACAAUGCUAAAUGAAAGCAAGGUCCCUAAAUAUUUUUGGGCCGAUGUGGUACAUACCGCUUGCUAUGUAAUUAAUUGAGUACUGCUUAGGCCUACACUCUUAAAAACGCCAUAUGAAUUGCUUAAAGGUCAAAAACCGAAUAUUUCACACUUGCAUGCUUUUGGAUGUAAAUUCUUUAUAUUGAAUAAUGGUAAAAGAUUACUAGGUAAAUUUGAUUCGAAAGUUGGCGAGGAAAUAUUUUUUGGGGUACUCUGUUCAAGUAAAGUAUAUCGAGUCUUUAAUAAAUAUACUAUGCAUGUUGAAGAGUCUGUCCAUGCAAAAUUUGAUGAAUCUUCUCCAAAAGAGAAGAAGAAGGUUGUGUGUGAUGAUGUUUUAGGUGCGUUGGAAAAUGCAUACACAAAGGACAUGGAUAUUGAGAACGAGGUUCAGGAUGAUCAAGAGCAAAAUGUAGAUCAUCAAGAAAUGCAUAUGGUGUGGAGGACAAAGAAAGAUCAUCCACUCGCCAAGGUUAUAGGUGAUAUCUCAACGAGAGUGGUAACCCAAAAUUCACUGCGAAACUUUUGUAACUUUGUAGCAUUUGUGUCUCAAGUCGAACCUAAGACCAUAGACGAGGCCUUAGAGGAUGAACACUGGGGUAUAGCUAUGCAAGAAGAACUAAACCAGUUUGAGCGUAAUAACGUAUAGGACUUGGUCCCUAAUCCUAAAGAUCAUCCCGUAAUAGGCACGAAAUAAGUCUUUAAAAAUAAAUUGGACGAACCUCGUUUGAUUAUACGUAAUAAUGCACGCCUUGUUGCAAAAAGAUAUAAUCAAGAAGAGAGCAUCGUCUAUGAUGAAACCUAUGCCCAUGUUGCGAUGUGUGAAUACCCAAUUUUGUCCGGGCCAAAAAUACUUAAAAAAAAACAAAUUUUCAAUAAAUAUUUUUGAUACAAAUUUCAUCAACUCAAAUAUAUAUUUUAUGUGAAUCCGAUUAGAUUCCAUGAAUUGAUUUUUGUUAGAAAGGGGGUAAUCAAAUCAAAUAAAUGAAUUCAUUAGCACUUAAUGAAUUUUAUUUCAAUUGAUUCCAAAGAAAAUUAUUUCCAGCAAAUAAAGAGAUAAAGGAGAUAUGAAUAUUUAAUGAAUGAUUCAUCAUAAUGACAUAUAUUUAAUCCAUUUUUUCGUAGAUUUGAAUUUUGAAAGAUUUGGGUGUUGAUUGAUUUUUUUUGCAAUUUGGUCAUGUGCUGGAAUUAAAUACAUUGAUUGAGUAUGAAAAUUUGACUCUUAAAACUUGCAUUUAAGUGUGAUAAAAAUCAGAUUGAGAAUUAGAAAAAAAAAUCAUAAUCCCUUAAUGUUCUCCUAGGAAUUAAUUGGUGUUCAUAUGACUUUGGCUAUAAAUAGAUGGGGUCUUCCCUUACGGGAAAGAAAAAAGCCAAAAAUGCUCAUACCAUUUUUUCUUUCCUAACGAAUCCACAAUCCCCUAAACAUCAUCUUUCCUACACAAAAUCUCUCAUCUAAAACAACCACAAAAUCUCUCAUCCAUACCAACAUCAAAAUCUCCUAUACACAACAAUCAAACAAAUUCAUUCAUCAAUCAUUUUUUUACCCUCAACAUUACCUUUNNNNNNNNNNNNNNNNNNNNNNNNNNNNNNNNNNNNNNNNNNNNNNNNNNNNNNNNNNNNNNNNNNNNNNNNNNNNNNNNNNNNNNNNNNNNNNNNNNNNCACAGGCCCAAUGCAUACAUGGACGUGUUGAGUUGGUCUAAACAUUCUCUCCGACUAUGGGUCUUUAUUCUCGAUUAAAAGAUGUUGAUUCAUGUGUCCAGGUAAUUCCAAUUUCUUACAUCUAUCUAUUUUUUUUGUUCAUCACCUCUACUCUGUUUCAUCUACAUGUGUAAUAAAUUUGAUAAUGAUAUAUCAUAUAAUUAUUGUAUUUGUAAAAUAUAUUGAAACCACAUUUCCACAAUUUUAAGAUAUGAGACGCGGAAUUGGACGUAAAGGCUAUGUUUCGCUCAUAUUAAUAAACGGUCUUUUUUAAUAAAAAACAAAAAAUGUAAUUUCUUACCUAAGUUUUAAUAUGAGAUGCGAUAUUGGACAUAAGAGCUAUGCUUCACUCAUUUAAAAAAAUAAUAGUUUAAAUUUUAAUUUUUAAGAAAUAAAAUCAACCCAACAAAUAAANNNNNNNNNNNNNNNNNNNNNNNNNNNNNNNNNNNNNNNNNNNNNNNNNNNNNNNNNNNNNNNNNNNNNNNNNNNNNNNNNNNNNNNNNNNNNNNNNNNNAAUAUAAUUGGGUACCGUUCAAACGGGCAACUAGGGUGCUAAUACUUUCCCUAGAGUGUAACCGACUCCCGAACCUGGAUAUCAAAGUCCAAGGCCCAAUGUGAUUGGGCCAAAAGAUUUUUCUACAUUUUUUGACUGAAAAAAAAAUGUAGUGACGACUCUAAUGAGGUCAUGCAGCCGAAAAUCGGGGCGCGACACGAGGUUAGAGGCUAUUCGAAUGUUACUAGCCUUUGCAUCGAUAAUGAACUUCAAACUUUUUUAAAUAGAUGUAAAGAGUGCGUUCUUGAAUGGAUAUAUUCAAGAAGAAGUAUAUGUGAAUCAACCGCCCAGUUUUGAAAAUCAUAAAUUCCAUAAUCAUGUUUAUAAACUCAAAACGACUUUAUAUGGUUUAAAGCAAGCUCCUAGUGCUUGGUAUGUUAGAUUGAGUAGUUUCUUAUUAGAAAAAGGAUUUCAAAGGGACAAGGUUGAUACAACUCUUUUUAUACAAAAUUCAGAAAAUAAUGUGUUACUAAUACAAAUUUACGUAGAUGAUAUAAUAUUUGGUGCUACUAACGAUUUGUUGUGUAAAGAAUUUUAUGAACUUAUGAAAGGGGAGUUUGAAAUGUUGAUGAUGAGCGAGCUGACAUUCUUUCUAGGCUUACAAAUCAAACAAAUGAGCAGUGGGAUAUUCAUUCAGCAAACAAAGUAUUGCAAAGAACUUUUGCAAAGAUUCGAGAUGAAUAAAUGUAAAGAAACGACAACACCUAUGAUAUCAUCUUGCUAUCUCGAUAAAGACGAAAAAGGUAAAGCAAUUGAGGUAACAAAAUAUCGUGCCAUAAUUGGUUCUUUAUUGUAUCUAACUGUUAGCCGCCCCGAUAUAAUGUUUAGUGUAUGUAUGUGUGCAAGAUAUCAAGCCUCCCCUAAGGAAUCACAUUUUAGUGCUGUAAAACGUGUUAUGAAAUAUCUUAAAGGAACACUAUCUAUGGGUUUAUGGUAUCCUAGGGAUACUUCUUUAUCCCUAAUAGGAUAUUCUAAUUCUGACUUUGCGGGAUGCAAGUUUAUGGGUCAUUUCUCAUUUAGAACCUUAAUCCUCUUUGCUUCCCCCAUUCUAGAUCUUUUCCCAAAAUUGAGUUUUCUCAAGAGGUCAUUAGCAAAUUCGGCUCCUACCUUAUAAGUUUCAUCUCUCUAAAAUCUCUACCAAAUUUGUAUUUCACCAUUUCCCCUCUCUUUAGAAACCCUAAGCCUCAAUUCGAAAAAUUGAUUAUCCAAUCGAUUAAAUGACUAUUAUACCUACAAGAUGAGUGAACCAAGGAUCAUGACAGUGAAGCACACUGCAAAACAUGCUAGACCCGGAGAAAAAGGCUUUUCCUCGACUUAAGGAGGACGAAAGAGUCGCGGAGACCCUUACUACUCUCUCAUUCUUCAAGAUGCUAGAUUAUCUAAGUUUCAAGGCCGUAAGCAAACCUAAAUUCAGAAUAUGGAUGUAGAAUGGCUUGAUACUCAAGGUUUUCAAUUCCCACAUGGGUUGGAGACCCAAGGAGUUAACAAAAUCGUGGAAUUGAAAGGUAAGAUGUAUCCUUCACUCAUUAUAUAAAGAUGAGGUGUAUUCAACAAUGGUAUUGGGGAAGAUGAUUGCUAUGGAAGAAGAGUUAUUUUUGGAUGUUGGAGGUCUUGAAUGUGAUGGACCUAUGCUGGGUGAUUGCAACAAUGAGUCAUGGGACUCAUUCAAUGCUAUUGAAAUGCACAAAUCCUGCUUGGGAGGACCUCACAUAUUUAUGCAAAGGGAAUUAACCAAGGUUGGGUCAUUGUUUAUGGAAAAUCGGCUCUUACACUAUUUGAUUGCAUACAUAUUUGGUUCAGAGAAAUACUAACCAUGAUCAACCCACCAUCAACGAUCUGAAACUGAUGUUCACCAUUCGGGAAGGCAUUUUGGUUAAUUGGCCUUCAGAGAUUCUCAAAGUUAUGAAUGGCAUAGCUUCAUCUUCAUCAAGAUUGCUCGCCUAUGGGAUAUUCAUCUCUCGUAUCAUUGAUUACUACAAGAUUGACACGACUCAUGUGGACACUACCAUGACUAACUCCCGAGAGCAUCUGGUUGGUGACUACCUGAUUCAAAAAAUGGGCAUCUAUAAAUUCGGUAAUGAAUGGAAAUAUCAAGAAUACCAUACUACCACUGUUAAUGAGGAUAUACCUCCUAAAAGUAAUGCUGCAAAUCCCAGUGAGCCCAUUCCUAAGCAACCACCUAUCGAGGCAUUUGUCGAGCCUCGAGAACCACCGUUUGGGCUUGCUCACUUAGAUGUGAUGGAACAUCGCCUCAAUGCACGUAUAGAUUGACAUUUUCAGAGUAUGAGGGAUUUCAUGGCCACUGAAUUUCAGCUGCAGCAGCAGAGGCUUUCCGAGGAUCUAGAAUUUAUCAUUUUCAUAGUGUGUAUUACCCAUGGCUCAUCUCCAUCACCACCUACACAAGAUUAGCCUAGAUAGGAAUGUCUAAUAUGUGUCUAGGGUGUAUGGUUAUUAUGUUUUGGUGAUUGUAGUUUGGUGUUGCAUAUGUUAUGGUUGUAUAUUGAUGUACUUUCUAUUUUGAACAAUAUGUACUCGUCUAUUGCACUUACUUUUAUAUGUUGUAAAACUUUGAUGGUAAUUUAGAUUAUGUUUGCAAAGUAUUGUGUUAUCCUUUGAUGUUAUCUAUUGUGCAUGUUGUAUGUUUGAAUGAUUGAUAUAUUCUGAAUAUUGCUACAUCAUUAUCUUUGAUCAUUCUAUGGAUUUCAUGUUGAAGUUUCACAACUAGAUAAAUUUCGCAAUCAAUUCUGCCAUAAUCUAUUUUUAUUACUAAAUAAUCGAUUAACUCCAUAUUAUAAUCGAUUAAACCUAAACUCUAUGCACAUGAUCAAGUUUUUUAAACUGCUUAAUCGAUUAUCCUUGAUUAAUUAAUCGAUUAAGACUAGUAAACUAUUUAUAUUUCCUUAAUUUUGGCUCUAUUAGUAUCAUAAUUUGCCAUAGGUUUUUUUAUCAUGCCAAAAGGGGGAGAAAGGUGUUGUUUGAGUUGUUUUGCAGGUUAAAAUUAGCUUCCACAAAGUAAUUAUGUUGCUACCCUUUAUUACCUCUUACAUGGUUGGAGAGGAAGAAUAAAGUGAGGGGGAGCAGCGCAUUCUGAUUCAACACUAUGCAAACUUUUUCAAUCAAACUUCAAGCCAUCAAACAAGGAAUUAUUUCAGUGUUUGUCAUCAUCAAAAAUGGGGAGAUUGAAAUGACAAAUAGUCAAAGGAUGUCAUUAUAACCGAUCUACGAAGUUUUGAUGAAGACAAGAUCUUACAUAUAAGCUUGACGACUUGGACAUCUCAACAAACAACAUACUAAGAACUCAAGGUCAUUGCCAUAGAAUCUAGGAUUGUCUUUUAACAUUAUAGAGUCCUAAGAUGAUUGCCUAGUAUUGAGUCUUAGGGUAGGUAAACCCAAGAUGGAAGUGUCUCACAAAGAGUCUAAAAUAAAAAUCACAUAAAAUGAGGCAUAACAUCAACACAUAAAUCUAUGAUAAUUAAUACUCAUGCAUUUGCAUUUAGCAUACAUGAUUUUAUGCAUAAAGGUUAGUCACUUCUAAAAUCAUGAUUGCAUGAUCAUGCAUCAUAUAGGGUGUUUACCAUUUAAAGAUUGAAAAACCCUUUUUAAUGAAUUUAAUCGAUUCACCCAAUUUAUAAUCGAUUAAGUCCUAGUGAAAUCCUUAAUCGAUUAAGGAAAAUCAUAAUUGAUUAAAUGGAGUUAUAGUAGCUAACCUCCCAUGAUUUCUAUGUAUUAAUCGAUUAUGCCAUAACUGAAAGUCUGUUUUCAAAAACCCGUCAAUCGAUUAACAUGACAAUUUAAUCGGUUAAUAUCUGUUAUAUCAGUUAUGAGUUAAUUCUGUUAUUUUGAAAUAGAAUCCAUUUCGUGUUUAAAACAGUUUUCUCUUCACCUUCAGUAAAAUAAAGAACGAAAAAUAUCUGAGAAAAAGAAUCAAAGAUUCACUGACUAAAAAGUUUCGAAGUUAUCUUGAUGUAUCUUUAGUUUUCUUGCAUGAGCUUCAAGAGUGAAAAAAAAAGAGAAUAGAGAGAAAAAUCUUUUCAUUGAGUAGAACCAUUUUUCAUUUAAUUGAAAACACUCCUUGCAUGAUUUCAUAAUUAGGUCUUAGGGCUGUGUUUGUGAGAUCUUUCUGUUAAGGGUGAUUAGAGCCGAAUUUAGAGUUGUAAUAUGCACAUUCUAGUGUGCAAAGUAACUCGGCGAAAGUUUUGUAUCCCAUAUUGUUAAAAAAGUUCUAGUGGACCGCAAACGAACCAGGAUAAAAAUCCUCGAGCACCCUUGAUUCGAGCAAGAGUUUCGGUUGGUGCCAAAUUGCAUAAAAGGUGUCGUAUUCAAGUAGGCGUAGAUAAGGGGUCAAACCGAGAUUUGUGACUCAUCGGUUUCAAGAAGGAAGUUUCUAUCUCGUUGUAUUGGAAGUGUGGUUGUAAAUUACAUUUCUGAUUAUUGAAGAAAAUCUCAUAGAUCAACGGGGAGGACUGGAUGUAAUUUGCAGUGGAUCGUAAAUGAACUAGGAUAAAAAUCCUCGAGCAAAUUUUCUCUAUCUCUUUGUAAUUCAGUCUUUAUUGCUUCAUGUUUUGAUUAGAUUGUUGUGAUUAAUUGCUUGUUGUGUUAAUCUGUUGUUAGUCAAGAAUCAAUCUUAGGAUAGUAAAGAUCAAGAAUUAUCAUGGUUUUUACGAAGCGAGAAAACUAAUUUUCAAAGUAAAACAAUCAGGAUAAUCGAUUAACUGAUAAUAAUCGAUUAAGUGAACUGAUUUUAAUCGAUUAACUGCAGCAGCUUUGAAUUCUACACAAAUAUCAUAAAAGCAGGACUCGUAAAACUUAAAUCCUACUUUUACUAAUUAAUUAUCAAUGGUGAAACUUAAGAGGUUUAUUGUUUAGCACAACCCUAGAAUUAAACUCUAAAAAAUUACUGGUGUGCUGAUUUGUAACGCAUUUCACCCAUCCCAAAUAGUAAUAUCCAUCAACUGCAAGGAAAAAAACCUGUGGCUAAAUCGCAAAAUUAUAUUAGCAGCAAAUUUAGGAACGUUCAUUUUACAUGCAUUGUAUAUUUCCCUUCCUAUAAAUUCAAUUAAACCAUAACAACAAAAACAUUCAAUAUCUAAAACCAAACCAAACAUCAAACAUUAACAACAACAAUGAGACAUCACAACCUUAAUAUCUUAUCAAUCAUUCUUUUUCUUUCUUUCUCUGCCGUAGCUAUUGCUGGCCGCUAUGGCGGUUGGGCCGCCAUCAACGACAUUAACGAUACCCACGUGAAGGAGAUUGCUGAUUUUGCGGUGACUGAGCAUAAUAAACAAUCUGGGGAGAAUUUGAAGCUUGAAAGUGUCAUCAAGGGUGAGACUCAGGUGGUUUCUGGAACUAACUAUCGCAUUGUCCUCUCGGCAAAUGAUGGAACUGCCUCAAAAAAGUAUCAGGCCACGGUGUAUGAGAAACCGUGGGCGCAUUAUAGAAACCUUACUUCAUUUGAUCCUGCCCUAAAUUAAUAUAUUGUAAUGUCUAAUGUGUUGCUUUUGUGCACUGUUGAUUAGAAAUUUAAGAACUGUAUGAGUAUUAUCUCAUAUUAUGUAUCAUAUAUGUACCCAAAAAAAAUUAUUAUGUAUCAUAUCCCUAUGUUGUGCAUAUGUAUAUUUUUAAUGUGAUAGAGCAUGACAUAAAGUUUAAAAAAAUGAUAUUCACAUGCUGAAAUCUUCUUUUGUGUGUUUGGUUUUUUUUGUUAUGUUUUUGUUGUGGAAAAUUUGUUUGUGGUAUCUGCUUUCAUGUUUUUGGCAUGAAGGGCUCUUAGUAAAUUAAGGAACAUUUAAAAAGGAGGGCGAGAAAUAGGAGGGAGCAUUUAAAAAUUAAAAUAACAUUGGAGAAGAAAAAGAAUAUCAUGUGAAUUGAGUUAUAUCAGUUUUUAUUAUUUGAGUGUAACUUUUUAUUAGCUAUUAUUUGAUUAGUAUUAUGGUCAGGUUUUUUUUGGGUACAUUUUUCUUCUUUUUUUUUGGGUACAUUUAUGGUCAGGUUUUGAUUAUUCACAAUAGAGAUCCUAUCUCCCAACAAAAAGCCAACAAAUAUGAAUAACAUAAAAAUCUUAAUUUAUGUUUUUAUGACUUUUUAAGUGAUAUUUUUAAUUAGAUAUGGAUAUAAAUAAGGAUAAAAAUAGGGACAACUGAUUACUUUUUGGGAUUUUGAUCAUCUUCAAUGUCACAUUUUCCGGUUACAUUAUAAAUUUAUAAUCUUGUUAUUGUUAGCAUUAUGGAUAGAAUGACAAUUCAGUAAUUAAAACAUGGUGAAUUCUAACUACAGUUAACAUUUAACUAUCUGUUAUCAAUAAUAAUCUUCCAAAAUGUUAGUAAAUGAGAUAAUGAUUUGCAAUCUCAAACUAUAUUUUAGACCAAUAAAAACAUAUCAUAAGAAAUUAAAAAAAAAAUAUUUAUUAUUUUUUAUAUUUUUCCUUCAAUAUAUCCCAGAGAUAGUUUAAAACGGGAGAUCAAUGCCCACUUAAAUGACCGCAUUUCAAAGGAAGGUUGGGCUUAGGUUACUCCAUUAAUAUCUUACGUUCAAUUAAAUAAAAACAUAAAAUAGCAUAAACAUCAACAUAACUUAUAAACUAAUGUGAAAGGGUAAGAAACAUACUAUUUGGCAGGAACCGAAACAAACAAUAACGGACCAAGGUCCAAAGUGCAAACAAAUUUCAAUAUAAUAUAAAAGAAAAUGGAUUAUCUCUAUUACUUGAUGGUCCAGUACCACAUAAGAUUGUAACAUUUGAACUUUAAAAUAAUUGAUAGUUCAAAUUUUAAAAUAUUUUUAAGUAAAAACUUAUUAUAAAUGAUAAAACAAAUCUAGGUCUCACAUUUCAGUACUGAAUCCUCCAGUUCUGGAGAGGAUCCCAGCACGUAGGUAUGAAGAAGAGUAUUGAGGGAGUGAUGAAAAGAAGAUUUUGAAUUAAAAGAUGGACUUUGAACUAAGGUCUGCAACAUAAAUUAAAAGAGUAAAAAUGCAAGUUAAUUUUCACAUUGAUAGACUUUGACAAGGUAGAUUACAGAGAAUAGUCUUCAAUCAACUUACAUUUAAAAAACGUCAAACAACAUUGAUUAUAGUUGUGAAAAAAGUAAUGAAAGUCUAUAAACAGCUUCAUUAAAAUUUAUAUAACAUAUAUCUUCUCACUCCCUUUAUUUUUAAUGUUAAAAUAUAAUUUCAUUGUAAUUAAAAUGAAAAAUAUGUUACUGAAAGUUAUAUUCUUUUUUUUAUUUUAUGAAGUAAUAGAGAGAAUUCUAACUCUUUAAUUAGAUUUUCCACUGUUAGCUACUUUUUUAACUUUCUACCAGUGUCAAAUAAUUGUUAUUUGUUCCAAAAUAUUUAAUUUAUAAAAUAAUAAAAAAUUUAAAACAAAAAUAGCAAAUUGGGGGACUGGAUAUAUAUUCGAAUUUGUCAUAUUUUUAUUUGGAUAUACUUUUAAUGGCAUGUUGUAAUAUUUUUAUAAUCAAUGAUAUUGGAAUGACACAAAUAUUUCACUUUCAUCUCAAAAAUGAAAAAUCAUAUAUAUAUAUAUAUAUAUANNNNNNNNNNNNNNNNNNNNNNNNNNNNNNNNNNNNNNNNNNNNNNNNNNNNNNNNNNNNNNNNNNNNNNNNNNNNNNNNNNNNNNNNNNNNNNNNNNNNUAUAUAUAUGAAAGAGAUUCAUAGAGUAAAUAAAAAAAGUUAUUUCAUAUUUUAGUUAUUUAUUCUAGGAAAAUCUAAUAAUUUAGAUUUACUCACUAAUUCAAAUUAUUAGAUUUUUCUAUAAUAAAUUAUUAAAAUUUGAAAUAGAUUUUUAACUCACUAUCAGAGUAAAUAGAUCUCAUCUCAUAUAAUAUUAUUAAGUGGUAGUAUCUAAACUAACAAUGUGCCAUAUUAGAGAUUCGGAGUAUCAUAUGAUCAUUCAAUUUCAAUGUACUAGAAUCCAUUACAUCAAGUGCCUCAUAAGGCACAUACAUAUUUAUUGUUUCAAAUGAUGUCCCAAACUGUUGUAAGCACAACUUACAAUAAUUAUAAAUGAUAUAAAAUAAUAUUUAUUGAUUGAAUCAUGAUCAUGUCACUCUCUUUAAGACAUUUUGUACACUAGCCAAAAUGUGAACCAUGUCAUCUCCAAGAUAAAACAACUCAGUCUCUGUUAUCAAAUUCUUAACUACAGUGUAAGAACCGAUCUUGAAUACAUCCAUCAUAAUAUGGCUACAAGUGCCAAUUUUUGAAAUAUCCACAAUAUGACUACUAGUGUCAAUUCUCGAAAUACCCACAAUAUGACUACUAGUGUCAAUUCUCGAAAUAUCCACAAUAUGGCUAUCCACGCCAAUUCUUUUUCCACAACAUCUCCCUCAGCUUGUUCAAAGAUGAUUGAAUGGAAAAGGCUCCAAAGCUUUUGUUAAAAAAUGUGCAACUUCAAGUUCUACAUAAUAUUUUUCACCAUUGAAGAGAAUGCAUGACCAAAUUCAUUGUCACUCAAGUUGAGAUGUUUAAUAAAGAAAAAUCAAGAAAUAGAAGAAUUCUUCAAAAUAUAGCACAUGAAACGAACAAUAUUGUGGUAGUAUAAUUAAUAGAAGAAAUAGAAAAAUUCUUAUAAGAAAAUGAAUUGAAUUCAAAAGUAAGGACAUUGUUCAUCAAGAACCAACACAACAUAAAAGAUAUUAAAUGAGGUCAAAUGAUAUUAUUGCUCACGAAUACCAUAUUGAUUUCUUUGCCAAAGAAUUAGUGAAAAAUGAGCAAUUUUUGCUCAAGAAUAACAGAAGUAGAAUAUAAUGAAAUAUGUGCAAUAUUUGCCUCAAGAAUAUCAAGAAAAAAUGGAGAUGUAAGAAAUAUAAAGAUAGUAAAAGAGAAUGAUAAGGGAAAAUAGCAAAAAGAUGAAUAGAGAUUCUUUGGUUUUGGCUUAAAACUCAACUGUUGAACUCAGAAGUAUAUGAAGCUCUUUGAACAAUUGCAUUUUCUUCUUCGAAUACUUCUUUCCUUCAACUACUAUCUUUCUCUAUACAAUGAAAUGUAUAAUUACAUUAUUCUUAUCUCAUUCAUUGAAUGAAUAGAAUUGAAUGAAUUGAUUAAAAAGACAGUGACUAACUUAUUAUAUAGAAAAUACAAAAGACUUAAUUCUAUCUAUCUAACUAAUAUAUUUUAUAUAUGUUUUAAUCAUAAAAACACAAAAAUUAAGUAAGUUUAAACUAAUUACUAGCCAAUACAAUAUAAAUCCAAAAUACCAAAAAAAAAACAUGGAAUAACUGUAUUCAAGUGAGACAAUAGCUCAUAAAAACUUUGGGGGCCUAUAAUCAUGGGAUGUAAGUUAAGAUCUACAUUGUUACUCAUAAUCAUGUGAAGUACAUAGGAGGAAAUCCUCAUUGUUGAAUUAGGUUUUAUCUAUAUUAGCGUAUUGCAGAUGUUUAUAUUGGAAGUUUAAAGUAAUACAUAUGUUUAAUUUGCAUAAACUAACAAAAAUUUCCAAACAAAUACCUGGAAAAUAAAAAGGACAAAAAAUCAUUCAAAAAAUCAUUCAAAAAAUCAAAAGGCACAAAAAUUAUAUGAGGCAAUGAAAGUAAAAAACUUUGUUAGAGAAAAAUGAUGCAAUUUUUUUUACAUGUAGAUGACAAAUAUAGAGAAGAAAUAUAUAAAAGGAAUAAAUAAUGAAAAUUUUAACUUAUUUGUAUCACCCAACAAUUUCUUCAUAAAAUAAGAAAUAUCCACAAUAAAAAAGUUGACAUUUUUUAAUUAACAAAAGAAAAAGGUAGAAAAAUAACACAAUGUAAAUACAAAGUAAUGAGAAAAGAAUAAGAGGCCAAAAAAUGUGCAACGCAUAACACGACUUCCCAAUAUCUCUAUUUAUCAGGGAGGAAUUACCAUGAAGGAAUAAUUAGUCAUAUUAAAACUCAUCCAAUCUAAUGAGGGCUUAUGAAAUUUCAACGAUAGAGAAUCAUGAAGAGAAAAAAAAGACGUCCCUACAAUAAGUUGAAAGUGAUAGAAGUAAUGUAGAAUUUUGAUUGGAAGACCAUAACAUUUGAAUAAAAACAUGGUUAUAAUGUAGAAUUUUGAUUAUCAUAAAAAACAUGGUCAUUGUAUAAUUUCAAACUGAAUAUAGAAAAUGGCAAAAUCAACAUAUAAAAAUUACACAUAUUCAUAUAUUUGAUUACUCUUCAAUCAUGUUUUUACUUUAUAUGGUAGUAUAGAUAAAUAAAGAUUUCCCCCAUAUAUGAUAAUAAUCAACUCUUAUGAUCAUGUUUAAGGAAGUCAUUUUUAUCUCAAUUGUGCUAAGCCUUGAAACAAAUUAUCUUAAAAAGUCGAAUUGAUAAUUAGACUAAUUAAUACAUAUAUAAUUUGGUCUUUGAUCGUGUAUUUUAUUAAACCAAGCUAUGAGAUUAACUUUUAGACCUAAGUGAUGCUUUGAUAAAACUUUCUCUAAAGUGAUAAUUUGCUAAUUUGAACCCUUAUAUGAUGCAGAUAAAGUUUAUACAAACUUAUGAUCUAAUUAUUAUUAUAUGUAUUAAGGGUGUUUGUAACUAAUUCUUUUACUAAUAGCUAAAGAAUAUAUUUUGAAGAUGACAAUAAAAACUUUUCCAUAGAGAUAAAAAAAUGAUUGGAAUUCCUAAUAACAUGCCAAUCAAAUACUAUCAUCUACCAAUCAAUUACAUCAAUAGUAAGAAAAUCCUUAUCCUUAUUAUUUUAAACUCAUCUAAUAUUUUGAUUGGUUGUAACUAAGUUACUUGGCUAGUUGGCCAUGCACGUCCAACUCAACAAGCACAAUAUGGUGUUUUUAAUGAUUUAAAAUUUCCAAAUUAUGAGGAUAAUUUUAAUUUAAGAUAAAGAUAUAUAUGUACCAACAAAUUUAUGAGUUUGAUAGAAUCUACUGAUAAUUUAUUAUAAAUGAUUAUUGACUUUUCAAACAAAAAAAAAAUACUUUAGAAGUGACUGAUAAAAGAAGGUAAGUUAUUUCUUCCAUCUACUAAAAUUUCGAUAAGUGUAAUAUUUAUUCUUUUUUUAUCAAAUAUUGGUGUAAGUGAACAUACCUAACAUAUCUCUGCCAAGAUAUACUUCAUCAUCUAAUCUUGUUCGUGUUCUGUUAUUAUCACGCUGAAACAGAAACCCUAACUGAUUGUUUCAGAGAGAAGAAGCAUAAGAGGAUUCUUCAGAAACCCUAAUUGUUGUUGAAGAUGAAGAGUCUCUUCAAGUCUAAGCCACGCACUCCUGCUGAAAUCGUGCGCCAAACAAGAGAUCUUCUUCUCUUUGUUGAUCGCAACAUCGAAGUUCGUGAAUCCAAACGUGAAGAGAAGGUCACUUCAGAUCUCAAUUUCAAUUUUAAUGCCUAUUUCUUCUCAGUUUUUAAUGGUGAUUAUGAUAUCGAUGAAUUCUGCAAUUGUUCACUAACUGCUAUAUUGUUUUCUGUUAUGUUAGCUUAUGCAAUUUUAGUUUUGGAUGCUUAACGCGAUUUGCUGAACCUCAAAGCUUUGAAUUGUAAACCACAAUAAUUUCCUUUUAUUUGUGCUUUUUGUUAUUAGUUAUUACCAUUUUGCAAUGCAUGCAAUUUGAAAUUAGCAGUGUUUGUUUUAAGGAAAACACAUUUUACCAUUACAUUAUUGAAGUUUUUAUGUUGAAAUGUUCGAUGAGAUUCCUUGACUUGGUUUUGCUAGGAAGAAAUUAUACUUAAAUUUGUUUGCAAGUGUUUAAUGAAAUUGUGAGAGCAGAAGCAACAUAGCUGGAUUUUUUUUUCUAUCUUGGCUAUACAUAUGCCAGUAACAUCAUCACAUUUUCAUAUUUGAUGUUUAUUAUGUUUGUGGGAUGCAUUUAACCACAGAUGUUGGAUCUAUAUAAAAACUUGAGAGAGCUGAAGCAAAUCCUGUAUGGAAAUAGUGAAUCUGAGCCAGUCUCUGAAGCUUGCGCACAGUUGACUCAGGAGUUCUUUAAGGAAAACACAUUGCGACUCGUUAUCAAAUGUCUUCCAAAAUUGAAUUUGGAGGUGACAAUGAAUUUCAAGAGAGACCUCUAGAUAUUUGCAGUUCAAUAAUAUGCUAUGACACUUACUUGUACCCUUUGUUGGAUAUGUGUGGUUAAAUGUCAGCAUUCUAGCAUCAUAUGGGUGAAAGGUGAAAUUAUGUUAUAAUGUGAUUAUUUGAUAUUUUCCAAUCAUGACACUGGGCUUUUUCAGGCCAGAAAAGAUGUCACACAAGUUGUUGCAAAUUUACAAAGGCAACCGGUUCAGUCUAAAUUGGUUGCAUCCGAUUACCUAGAGAAGAAUAUGGAUCUUAUGGAUACUUUGAUGGUUGGGUAAGUCAUUGGAUGAAUAUUUUUUCUCUUGAUAUUGGGUUAGUAAGCUUUAUACUAUGAUGAACUUUUCUGCCUGACCAAAUAAAUGAAUUGGGAUCUGAAUUUACUUUCUCAUCAACAGCUGAAAAGUUAAUGUCCCUUUGGAUUAGAUGGUAGGCCCAUAUUCCCGAUUUCUUCCAAACCAGUUUGUAGUUUUUAGGUGAAAAUUAGUUUUACCACAUAUAUGUCUUGCUCUUAUGGAUAUGUCUUGCUCAUAUCUUCAUAUGUGUAUGUGAUUUAUUCUGCUUUUCAUUAUACUUGUGAUUAAAUAAUAUUUCCCUAGUAUAAUCCUAGCAUUCAAUUACUAACUAUUAUUGUUUUUUAGCUAUGAAAACACAGAUAUGGCUUUACACUAUGGUGCAAUGCUGAGGGAGUGCAUAAGACACCAGAUUGUUGCAAAGUAAGCACACAGAAGAAUAUAAAUUCAUUUUAUGUUGUGUAAUAUCAGGCUCAAAGAUAUUAAUGAUGACAACUGGAAACACAAUCAUUCCGGCUGGCGUUGUUUGACUUGUUUCAAUCUUUGUUAGAGAAAUAUUGCAUCUUCUAGUGAUAUAACUUACAGGCACUUUUGGUUCCUAUACUUAUAAUUGCACCUCUCAGAGUCCUAGAUUUAUGUCAAAUGAGAAGGUUGAUGCGUAAAAAGAUCAAGUUCAUAUAAAGAACUGGAUAAUUGAAUUAGAAAAGGGAAAAUGGUCUUGGUCUGAUAUUUUUUUCACACCAUGACUCAUGAUGAUUUAAUUCUUCACGGUUUUGUAUCAGAUACGUUCUGAACUCACCUCGUAUGAAGAAGUUUUUUGACUACAUUCAACUUCCAAAUUUCGACAUUGCUGCAGAUGCUGCAGCAACUUUUAAGGUUGGUUUAUCUGAAAGAACUUACGAUCACUAUCUCGCCAUUUUCUGCCAUGCCAUUUUCACAGCAGAGUAUAAUUUACACUAUUAUAUUGUUUCAGGAACUUUUGACAAGACAUAAAUCUACUGUAGCUGAAUUCCUUUCUAAGAAUUAUGAAUGGGUAAGUUCCCCUUCAACCUACUUUAUACAUCAGGAUAAAGUAGCAUGCCUAUUUUAAUUUAUACACUCAUAUCUGGACAUGCCACCUUUUUCUUAUCCUGCCACACUCUUACUCGAUAACAUUGAUGGUUUGAUAAAGGUUUCUUAUAGGAGAGAGUGUAACUUGGGCAUGAGUCAGAAUAUGGUUUUAGUUUCGUGGUGAUUUGUGGGUGGACAUUGCUUCUGGUAUACCUCAUGUUCUGAAAAAAGAUAAUUUAAUAACCUCUACUUUUGAUCAUCAUUUUAAAAUUUAUUCUUUUCGUUUGUUUGGCACAUUCUAUUAGAUCUAUCCUGUUUUUUUCUUUGCUUUAAAAUGUAGAUUUAUAUUACAGAUGAAAGUAUGCACUUUUGGAAUAUGAUUCUUGAAAGUUGAAACCCAGAGGAUUUACACAUUUUUAUUGAAUUGCAUUAACUACUUUGUGGUUAUUAACCACACAAGUUUUAUUAUCUAAAAAAAGAAUAAAAAAUUUAAUCACACAAGCAUGUUUAUUCCCUGUAUCUUUGAAAUGCAUUUUAAACCACCACUUUUUAAAGAUUUGUUUGAAAUUUUCUGCUGCUUGAAUUUAAUCAUAUGAUCGUCAAUUAUGACAGCCGACCCCAUCUAGUGGUAUUAAGGCUUGGUUGUUGUUGUUGAUCGUCAAUUAUCAGAAAGUGUUGUAUUUGCAUCUAGCUUUUUCAUACAUAAUUAUAUAAUACUGAUUUUCUUUGUUGUUGCUGCUCUCAGUUUUUUGCAGAAUAUAACUCUAAGCUGCUGGAGUCUUCCAAUUAUAUUACAAGGCGCCAAGCUGUCAAGGUACUAUAUAUAAGUUUCGAUUUUAUCUCAAUUGUAACUUGUAGGUGGUUGGGAUAGUUGGUUUGUACCCAAGGAGUAUGGGUUCCAUUCCUAGCAAUGGACGAUUUUCUUUCUCCACCUAGGGGGAUUAAGGCUUGGUUGUUGCAACUUGUAGGAAAAUUGAAUGAAACAAAUACUUUGGUGUCUGGCUUUAAGUUAUUCUUUUUACUCUUCUAGCUGACCCUUCCCUACCUAUUGAGAUUAAGGCGUGAAUGUUAUUUAUUUACCUUGCUGAAAAUGUAACUUUGGAUUUAAGAAAUAUUUGCUUAUUCUUGUAGACUAAAGUUGUAGUUCAUUUGACCUGUACGUUACUGAAAAUAAACAUGCUAUUAGUAGUUAAUUACUGGUGAAAAGUUACCUUGCUGUUCAUUGAUUUCCUUUUUUCCUGGUGAAGUUUCGAUUGUUGGUCUUUGUAGUUUUAUGUUAUGGUUAAUGUGUCAAUGCUCUGUCACCACUGUUUUUAUUAUACUUUUUCAUGUUGCAUUGAUUCUAAUAUAUAUACUGAGUUGAUUUCUUUCUAUUUCACAGUUGCUGGGAGAUAUGUUACUUGAUCGUUCAAAUUCAGCAGUAAUGACACGAUAUGUGAGCUCAAGAGACAACUUGAGGAUUCUAAUGAAUCUCCUUAGAGUAUGAUCCUUGACGUAAAACUUAACGACAUGUCUUUUUACUUUACCUUCUUGCUUUUCUUAUGUGCUGCCCAUCCACCCCCUCUUACGUAUCUUUGUAUGCAAUUUCAUCUAUUCUUUUGCUGAUUAGAAUACUAAACACAUUCAAAUUUGAUUUUCUGAUGACACUAUUUUAAAGUGGGCAUUUAAUGGGGUCAUUGCCAAUUUCUUUCUGCAGGAGUCAAGCAAGAGCAUACAGAUAGAAGCAUUUCAUGUUUUCAAGGUACAUAAUCAUAUUAUAGCACAGUUUUUGAAGAGGUUUUCCUACCCUUCACUGAUAUUGAUAUUUUUCAUAACAGCUAUUUGCUGCUAAUCAAAAUAAACCAGCUGAUAUUGUGGGCAUAUUUGUUGCAAACAAAAGUAAGAUUCUGAGACUAUUGGACGACUUCAAGAUCGAUAAAGGUAUGUGCUCUAAGGAAUAUUUAGUUGUUUGAGGCAUGAUCAUGUUGAUGAUCACAUAUUUGCUGGGAUUUGUGCAGAGGAUGAACAGUUUGAAGCAGACAAAGCUCAAGUUAUGAGGGAAAUUGCCUCACUUGAACCUAGAACCUAGGGAACAGCACUAUUAUAGUGUUCAGUGGCAAGUUACAUAGUGGCAUUUCACUUCAGUGAAUUGUGUAUUGUGAAUGGUUCAAGAUGAGACUAUCAUUUCAUACAAGAUUCCAUGUUUCUUCCGUUCUGUAAUCUUAUCAUCGUCGUCCUGUAAUAUAGUAGAUAAAUAAAUUGGUAAAACGAGCUCUACAUGUUCCUCAUAACUUUCUGGUUGUUAGAAAGUAAGAAGGUUUUCUUAGAUGCCCUGUAAAAUAGAAAUUGUGCUGAGGUCAUCUAAUAAUUGACCUUCUCAACUUUGUUCGACAAAUCUUUUACUUGUGCAUCGUGUUCUGCUACCUGUGUUAAUUCUACACUAGCUGUCGAACCAGUUUUGGUCCUACAACAAGGUUUUGGCUCUAUGGUAGGGUCCAUGGGAUUUGCUUGGAAUAGAUAGAAUAACAUCACUUGUAAUAUCAUUGGUAUCCAUGUCAAGGAUACAUAAUGAAAUAAUGUACCUCUAUUUUCGUCCUUUUGCAACAAAAUUCAUAGAGGUACUCUUUCUGUGGCUGAGGGAAAAUUCAUUAAACCAAUAAAAUAGGACGCAAGAUAAGAGAGGGCCCAGAGGGGGAGUAAUCCUCUAUAGGAAAGGCGGAGGGUUGAAUUCGAAUUUUACUUUUCCCAACUUGAACCCCUGAACUUAACCCUUUCAGGUUGAAAAAAAUAAACUUCACCCUCACCCUCUACUCAUCUUCUUUCCCUGACCUGGCGGAGGAUUGGGUUCGAAUUUUACCUUUCCCAACCUGAACCCAAAAACUUUAACCCUUUGGAGUUGAAAAAAUAAUUUUCAUCCACGCCCUCAACUCCUCUUCAUUCCCCAACCUGAACACAUUAUAAAGACAGUUUCAUAAAACAAUUAUAUAAAAGUUUCCUCUAGAGAAUAAAGUAUCUUAUGAUAUAAGAAGAAUCAUGUGUUAGAUUUUUAAAUAUAAUUUUAAAACUAAACAAAAUAAUACAAAUGUCAUACUUUUACUGAUGAGAAAAGAUAAAUUAUCUUAUGUUAUGAGAAUAUACUUUAUUAUCUAAAAUAUAUAUAGAUGAAGUAAGUGGUACCAGGGGUAUUAUUAAUAUCAAACCAAAAAUUAGGUCGAAAAAUAAACUUAAAUUUUGUCGGACAAUUAUCCCUAUUGAAUUUGAAUUGAGUUUGAAGUAGAAUGUACAUAUUUGGGUUAUCUAUAUACUUUACUCACCAAUGAACCUAAAAACUUGGAAGACUCUAUGCCACAGAACCGCACCAGCAUCUUUUCUUGGUAUAUUCCAUAAGCAUUUUCUCUUUCCAGGUCACACAUUGCACAGACUAUUAUACCCCUGCCAUUCAUUACUGCUACUCUGAUUAGUGUCCAAAAUCAAAGGUCUGGAAAAAGAAACCUAUGCAGAAGAUGAAGGAUAGCUGUUGGUGUUAGUGGUUGAGCCAUUCCUUAAAGCCAAAAUAUUGUAUUAUUGUGACACCGAUUUUGUUUAGAUAUAACAAUUUUAUAAAAAGCGUGUGUGCUUUCUUUUGUAAUUUUUUACAUUUGGAUUUUAACUCUUAAUGAUUUAAAGGGUUGUUAGCUAAUGAGUUUAAUCAAAUUAUGUAUUAAUAUUUCAUUUUAAAUCAUUAUUAUCACUGUCAAACUUAAUAAUAUUUCAGCACUGGAUUAAGUGCAUAUUAAUAAAUACAAAAAUCAAAUAUAUAACUUGAUUUACAAAUCAAUUUUCUAUUUGAAUAUUUGAUUACACUUAACGAUAGCUGAAAGCAUUUUAUUCUAUUUACCCUUACUAAAGAAAGUAGCCUAACUAAAAUAAUAACAAUAAAGCAAAUCAUACAUUCAAAAUAAAAUAAGAGAGAAUAAUAUGUGUGCCAACAAAGUAAGUUCUUUAUAUUGUGAGUGCAACAUUCACAUCUUAAUUAUUGUUAACUCUCUCAUCUUUUUCUCGUAAUAAAUAUGCUAUACGUAUAGAUUUUUUACAAAUGCCAUAAAUAUUAAACUUAUAUGGAAUAAACUUUAGAAGAUUCGGAUGUUGUGUAUACAAUCUAAAUAUAAAAAAAGUUGAAAAUAAAAUGAGUUCUAUUAUUCUAAUCUCCUAAUUCCUUCAACUUAAAAGGGUUAGCCAAAGAAGAAAAGAGUAACCUCUAUCAUUUCAUCACAUUUUCGUAACUUGUCAUUCUUAUCUUCUCUCAGAAUUUGAAUCUCAAGAACAAAGCACUACCUCUAUCAAUGGCUGACGACAAUGGUUGGAUCCGUUCUCUUUCUCUAUUCUUCCUUCUUUUACUUAAAUAAUGAUUCACUUUGUAUACGAUCUUAUACUUACAUAUAUUUCUUCCAAAUCUUCCUUUCUUCAAAUUCAUUUGUAGCUUCGCUCUCGGUAUUUCUGGAAUCUGCAAUCGACGCUGCUCGUAAAGCUGGCGAGGUAACUUCAUUUUCCAUCUCUCUUCAUUUUCGAUCGUUUCUUCUUUGUUAUUCUUAUUGUUGUUCAUUGUUUUGCAGAUUAUUCGGAAAGGGUUCUACGAGUUCAAAAAUGUAGAGCACAAAGGACAGGUAAGCUUGUAUUGCAUUCUCUCCUUUGUUUUCCGUUUAGUCUUAAGCUUCAUUUGUUUCAAAGUUUGAGCAAGUGUUGUAAAGAGUUUGAUUCUUCUUAACAUUAAUCAUUAUCCUUAAUCUUUAAGCUUAACCUUUAGGAGUUCCAGUCCUUGAGACAAAAUGUGAAUGCCAAUUUUAUUUUUUAAAGCAUGAGUUUUCAAUAUCAUAAGUUAUUCGUCAUCAUUACAAUUCUUGAAAUGUGUUAAGCUUCCUAAAUCCUAACAUGAAACUAGUGCACUGACUGUAAAUAAUUGUUAUGCCUAUUGUUAAAAUUUAAAUUGUGACUACUCACCAUGAUUAAGUUAGAAGCUUAGGAGUAGAUAUUCCGUAACUAACUAAUAGGUUUGUAUGCGUAUCAAUGUCUAACCAAAGCACAACAAGCUAAAAAAGUAAUCAAUAUGACAUGGUCAUGUCAGAAAAAAAUAAGUAAGUUUGAGGUACUUGUUCUCUGUUAUUGGAAAAGAAUCUCCAUGCUGGUAAUGGAGAUAAUAAAAAUAUGGACGUUAUCAUGAACAUGUAAAUGAUGAAACAUUAUGCCUCUUUUAAUUAUGACUAUCUUAUACUUUUUUGUGAUGCACAGGUUGAUUUGGUCACAGAAACUGAUAAAGCAUGUGAAGAACUCAUUUUUAACCUUCUCAAGCAGCGUCACCCGACUCAUAAGGUUGAUUCAUCUCUCCCUCUAAUAUAUCACACUGAUUUUAAAUAUAGUCAAGUUUAAGAUAGGUAGCUUGUCUCUCUUUUUUGCCCAUGUAUAUUUUCUUAAGGUCAUUUAAAUUGAUGUUCUUAUUAGUUCAUUGGGGAAGAAACCACUGCUGCUUAUGGCACUACAGAGCUUACUAAUGAACCCACGUGGAUAGUGGAUCCUCUGGAUGGAACUACUAACUUCGUGCAUGGGUAAUUAAUUUCCCAUUCUGAUGUUUUAGUUGAUACAAUCAUAUUUCCGUACUGAUUGAAUAUAAUUGUGCUAUGCGUAGGUUCCCCUUUGUUUGUGUCUCCAUUGGCCUUACAAUUGGAAAAAUUCCUACAGUUGGUGUUGUUUACAAUCCUAUAAUUAAUGAGGUGAGAAAACUUCCCUCUUCAGAGGCUUAAAUUAACGUUCCACUUUGCUUAGUAUGCAAAUUGAAAUUUGGGAUUGCUGUAUGUAGCUUUUUACUGGAAUCCGUGGAAAAGGUGCUUUUUUGAAUGAGAAGCCUAUAAAAGGUGUGUCCUGUGUUUUUUUUUAUCUUUUCAUUGUUUGUUGCUAGUUUAAGAUUUAGUUAGCAUGUGCUUGAAAUUUUGCAGUAUCAUCACAAACCGAACUAAUGAGUGCUCUUCUUGCAACUGAGGUAUGUCAAGUCUGUUAGAAUUGAUUAUGUCAAUCUAUUCAUUUUUUUUAUCCAUAAAGUAUAUUCCCCUCCAUCUCCUUAUUGUGAACUUCUGUUGACAACAAACAUUGCACUGAGAAAUGUAGUUUGCUUCAAAAUAUCAAUAUGGGAAAUGGCCAUAUAGGUGCGAAUAUUUUUUUUUCCAGUUAAUCAUAGUAGCUAUGAGCCAACUAUGUGAGAAUUAAUAAACCUUGCUUAUGUCUUUCAUUUGAUCUAAUACCCAAUUCGACAUAUAUCCCAUGACUUUCUUUUUCUGUUAAGUACAUAAUCCCCAUUCUAACUUGAUAGUCUUCUUCAAGACAUUUGUCAGACUAACUGUCCAUAUCUAUAAUAGUUGUAUAACAUUUUAUUCCAAGUAGCUAGUAUGUAUUAUUUUUUAAAGAUGACAGUAUGUAUUUGAAUCACAAUACUCAAUUUUUUUCCAAGCAUGAUCAAUAUGUUGACAAUACAAGCUCCGAUGUUUUUCUGAAUUCUGUUUUUUCUAAUACAGUUGAAUACUUGAAGUAGUAACCCUCUUGAAGAAUUUGCUUCCACAAAAUUUAACACACUCCAAAAUUAUCUGUUGGAUAAUCGAAUUAUCUGUAACUUGCGCAUAUUGAAUUUAUAAAUUCUGUGUACUCAAUACUUAGUGGUUUGAAAUGGUUGGAGAGCAUGAUAGGGCAGGCAAAUUAGAUAAGAUCUUAAAUUUUAAUUGUAGGGUGAUGCUAUUGACAGCUUCAAAUGCCUAUCUCAUUAGUCAUUCAUAAUUUAUAGAAAUAAAGUUAAUUUAUGAUUGGUUAGUAAGAAGUGUACCUAGGCAAUUGUGAGUGCCAAUAGCCUCAUCCUUAAGUUUGUUCUGGCAAUGACUGAGUUAUUGAAGGAAACCAUCAGAAUUUAAUUGUUUAAGUGUACAUUAUAUAUUCAUAGGAAACUGCCAAGGUGUCAAAAUUCCAAUGUGAUCAUUUAGCAGAUUGUAACUUAUGCUUACUUAGUCUGUUUUAAGUCAUGUGCCCAUUUUGUGCUGAUCUUUUUUUAUUGCCUCCGUUUAUUGUGUUUAAUUACAUACCAAUCUGGCCCUUAGUUAGUAAGAUUAUCACAAUUUCUGAAAUACUAGCUGAGGAUGGGAUGACCCAAAGAUGCAUUUGGCAUUCAUAAGUAGAUGGGUCAGGUUCACUUGUAAAUAUGUUGCCUUUUGAAUCAAGACUAAUUUGAAAUUGAUCAAGUUUUUUCCUUCUGAAAGAGCAGGCUGGAACAAAACGUGACAAGUUAACAGUAGAUGCCUUUACCAAAAGGAUUAAUAACUUGCUUUUCAAGGUAAGACAAGGAUUGCCCUGGAAUCUAUUGGACUAAAAACAUGAAAAUGUGAUUGACUACAUAACUAAACCUUUUCUAUUUUAGGUGAGAUCACUUCGAAUGAGCGGCUCUUGUGCUCUGAAUCUCUGUGGAGUUGCAUGUGGAAGGCUGGAUAUAUUCUAUGAAGCUGGGUUUGGUGGUCCUUGGUAUGAGUUUCUCAUGCAAAAAUGUUACGAAUUAUGAUAAGAGUUCUAUUAUUUGUACAUCAACUUUUAAACAUCGUAUUUGAUACUAUAUACUAGUAUUUAUUUUCUUUAUACAUAUAAGCAUUUGAAAAUUACUUCUAGAAAUAUAAAAAAGGCAUCAAAUGAUGUUCCUCUUCCUUUUUCAGGGAUGUGGCAGGUGGUGCUGUCAUUGUUAGAGAAGCUGGAGGUGAAAUAUUUGAUCCGUAAGUUACACUUUACUUAGAUAUCGUUAUUCUUGACAAAUGGAUUUGUGUUUGAAGCUCUUCAUUUAACGUAUAAUCAGUUUGACUAUUUUAUUGUAUCCUUCACCUUGUGGCCAGUAAUAUAGACAUUGUUGGUAUGGACAUGCAAUGCGUCCAAAAUUUAAGCACUAGGCAUUUUAAAGGACUUGUUAUCAGUAUAGAGCACUAUAAUAAUCGAGUUUUUAUCCCACUAGGUGGGAUUAGCUACAUGGAUUGAACAAUGUCAUAAUGUUCUAUUAUAAAUCAUGUUUAUUGACAAGAUAUUGAUCUAAGUCUUUCUUAAUAGAUAUAGAACAGAAAAUAUAAUGUUGCAUAGUUAUGUUCAAAAGAUUUUAUGCUUGUUUCAAAAUCUGAUUUUUUGUUUUCUUAGGACUGGUGGAGAUUUUGACAUAACAUCUCAGCGAGUAGCAGCUUCAAACCCUUCCUUGAAGGAUAAACUUGUUACUGCUCUGCGUGAAACAGAGUGAGAAAUUUACUAUUUAACAAUGGUGUGGAGAAUCUUUCUUACAGUUCAGAUACCUUUUGCUAAAAAUAUCAGUGAGAAUUACUUUUAUUAAUUGUCUAAUUCCCUUCUGACUUAUAGCUAAAUAAGUAUAUUAUCCAAUUCUUAUGAAAAGUGUCACGUGGUUAACAAUGCAACUUGCAGUAGAUUAAUUCCAUUCACAUGAACUGUGAGGGGUUUCCAAGAACUUUUGCCUUGAUUAUGCUAUUUUUCUUCUUUUCAUUUUGUGUCCUAACCCUAUUUCUGAUUUCUUAUCUUACGUUUAGUGGCUUAAAUCUCUUGGCACAACCUUAAAAAACAAAAUAGUUUGGCUUUAAUAAGAAAACAAUUUCAAAUAGCAAGUCAUUGUUUGAGGAAUUGAGUUGGUAUGUGACAUCACUAAUAUGGUAUAGAUUAUAUUUUUAGAUUAUGAUUAUAAACUGAAAAAAUAAAUUAUCUAGGUUCAAAAGUCUCACAUUGCCUAUAUCACUCUUUUAGGUAUUAUUUAAAUUAAAUAUUUAUUUGAUUACUGUCAAUUGGUUUUGAAAUAAAACUUUAACAUAGUAUCGGAGUCAAACCCUAACUUCUCAGUUCUUAUGAGCUAAAAAAUAUCAUUUAAUCAUGAGUCAAAUAUUUUAUUUGUUGGGAAGUAAAUCUUACAUCACUUAUCUCAUUCUUGGACAUAUUUAAGUAUAUGUUAAGUUACUUCUCUCAUUUUUAAUUAACUUCUGUCAUUUUUAAUUAAUUAUGAGAUGGAAUCUUAAGAAUAUAUAAACCUUGAACAUACUUUUUGCUUAUCCUUUUUGGUUUAUAAGUUUCUUUUUUUAAAUUAAGCUUGUUACCCAAACAUAUAAAACAAAAAUAAGUAAAAAUAGCCCAGACCUAUAUAAAACUCAAAAGUGAGCAUUGGCUAUUAAGUAUAGAAAAUGAGUUGUUGGAACAGAAUAAAUUCAUUAAAGAGAAUAAAGACGAGUGAACAACUAAUUCGAUUCUCUUUUUUGAUGAUGUAAAUGAGAAAAAAGAGAGCACACUGCACCCAUCCCUUUGGACUGACCAAUUCAAACGAGGGUGGGUCAGUGUUCCACCUAAAAAUGGCUAAAUGUUACCGCUUAUAAUUCCAACUUUACUCUUAAUUGAAGUCUAAGGUGCAGAGAAAAAUUUAGUUUGAUAUAGUUUACAAGUUAUUUGUACUUUUCUGUGAAAAGUUAACCAAAUUUGUAGUAAAAUCCCCUGGCAUUUAGCCACUUGCUAAUGAAGAAGAAAUCAAUGCCUUCAUCUUUCCCUAAGAGAGAACUAUUAAAAAGUAUUUCAAAAGGUGUUGACAAAGAAGAUAAAAGCAAACAAAUAAAUACAUUAUAUGAAGAGAACGAUGCAAAGUAUAAGCUGGAAUAUUAUGCAGAAAACCACACCUCAGAAAUUUACUAUCCUGUGAAAGAAUAAUCUCAAAACCAGAUUCUAAGCAGUUGGGAGCAUCCUAAAUACACUCAAUACAUUAGAGCAAAAAGAUAAUGAAAGUGUUCAACAACAAAACUCAUGUACUAAUGAUUCAGAAGCCAAAAAGUUCACUAUCACAUUUGCUGUGAAAUAGAACCAUAUCCAUUAACACCAUUUGUACCAUUAAUGCCAUGUGCUGUUUUACUCUCUGAUCUCCUCCUACUCAACACAAUGAUCCAUGUGUAAGCUUCUAAAAUGAGAGCAAUGACACCCAAAGCUGCAAUAAUGCCAAUGUAUGCAUGCUUCAAGUCAUUGUAGAAUUCCUGAACAGAAACCUGCAAUGCCUCACAUCCUUUAAAGAUGUUGAAGAUGCUGAUGAUUAUAGUGGCAUAUCUGAUCAAGUAGUGGUAGAUGGUCCAAUAGAUUCUGAUUUUGUGAUCUUUGUUAGGUUUCAAUAGCAGAGCAAAAAGAACUUUGAUGCUAGAGAGACCAGAAUAUAGACAUAAGAUCAUGAAAGUGAGCUACUUACAUUUCUUCUUGUUCUAAGUGAAUUACCACUUAUCCUCCUCCCUGGCUAGAACCAGAAACAGAUCCAAAGCGAUAAUAUUAGGCCUAAGCCUAGUAUUAUAAAUGUGUAUACAAGGGGAAAUAGAAAAGUCUUGUUAGAGACUUUCUAACUGUAACACAUUUCCUAAAAUAUUCCUAAGUAGUUAGUUGUUAGGUUUUCUAUAAUAAUUUGUUAGUUAUGCUAUAAAUAUGGAACUAGUCUUUUGGAGAAGGGAGAGUUAAUAGAGAAUUAGAAUUCUGGUUGUGAAAUCAGAGGAGGGUCGUGGAACCUAUUGUAUAAUCUCAAUUCUUGUUCUUCUUUCAUUCUUUCUAAUAAUAAUCUUGUUCUUCAUCCCAACCAAGAAUCACAUGAAUUCUGGUUUAGAGUAUUAUUUUUCAUUAAUUCAUUUCUUUCUUCUUGAAUUUCAUACCAGUGUUUAUCACUGGUAUCAGAGCACUAAUUUGGUGCCCUGAGGGAGUGGAACUGCCAACCUCGCUGCUAUUCUAUGUAUGGUAUCGACACGAAGAAUGGUAAGAGGCAACAAUAGCUAGACACAAGAACGUGAAGAAAUGCAUCUACAACGUGAGGAGAUGCAUCAAAAACGCGAGGAGCUUCAUUUGCGUUUAGAGCUUAAUGAGGCACAAACGAAGAAGACAAAGGAGAUGCUCACUACGACAACAACCAAAUUAGGAGUUUUGAGGGGAGAUACGUCUGUUGAAGAAGGAAGCGAGAAUGACGAGGAAUUUGAUAGUCGCAAUCAACACUAGAAUCACAAUAGGUGGUGGAAACUCGAGAUUCCUAUUUUUUUCGACGAUGACGCAUACGGAUGGGUCCAGAAAUUGGAGCGAUACUUCGCUCUCAGGGAAGUCAUGGGGGAAGAAAGGAUGCAGGCCACCAUGGUUGUGUUGGAAGGCCGAGCCCUCAGUUGGUACCAGUGGUGGAAAUGCUGCAACCCUUCUCCAACAUGGGAAACUUCAAGAUCAUUGUGGUGAGACGUUUUCAACCAUCAAUGAUACAAAACCCCUUUGAAUUGCUACUCUCUUUGAAACAAGAAGGGAGUGUCAAAGCUUAUGUUGAAGAAUUUGAGAAGUAUGCAAAGGUCUUGAGAGAAAUUAAUCAAGAUUUUAUUAAGGGCAUUAUUCCUUAGUGGGUUAAAAGAGGAGGUCAGGGUGGAGAUGAGGUUGUAUGAGUUUGAAACCUUAUAUGAAGUAAUCCAAAAGGUUAUCUUUAUUGAACAAAAGAACAUGGUAGUUACCAAGAAGUCCAGUACUAGUUAUACUAAAUUUUAUAGCCCUUACCGAAGCAACACUUAUAAUAAGGUGGUGACAUUAGAUCCUCAUUCUGCUAGUAACAAUAAGAGAGAGUGGUCUUCUGUAGGGAGUGUGGUUGGUGUUUCCAAAAACACUCAAGAAGCUGAAAGCUCUAGGAGCAGGGGAGAUUACAAGAGGCUAACUAGUGCAAAGAUGAAGGAGAAAAAAGAAAAAAGAUUGUGUUUUAUAUGUACUGAACUCUUUACUAAGGACCAUGUGUGCAAAGACAAACAAUUGAGGAUGAUUCUACUUGCUGAGGAAGAUGAUGAGAAUGAGGCGGAGGUGAGAGAAAGAUUGGAAAGUUUCAAUUCUCUACAACCAUCCAUAUAUUCUAUGACAUGAUUUACAUCCACCAAGUCAUGGAAGGUAGGAGGAACUUUAGGGAAGAAUCCUGUGAUUCUUAUAGAUUGUGGAGCUUCCUACAAUUUCAUUUCAAGAGAAUUGAUGAACAAUUUGCAAUUGAAGGUGGAAGAAAAUCAUGCUUAUGUUGUAGAGGUGGAAGAUGGACAUAAGGUCAGGUGCAAGGGAAAAUAUGCACAACUCAAACUGUCUAUGCAUUGACUAGAGGUGAUCCAAGACUUCUAUUUGUUUAGCUUGAAGGGAGUUGACCUAGUAUUGGGGUUGGAAUGGUUAGCAAGCUUGUGAGAAGUGAAAGCUGACUUUGGAAGAAUGAAAUUAACUCUCAAGAGGGGGAACUCAAUAAUCACAAUAGUUGGGGACCUUGCUUUGACUAGGACAAAACUUUCCUAUGGAGCAUACAUGCAGGUGCUUGUAGAGGAUGGGGAAGGUAUGCUAUUGUACUGUGAUACAAGACUUCUAUAUGUUUAGCUUGAAGGGAGUGGACCUAGUAUUGUGGUUGGAAUGGUUAACAAGCUUGAGAGAAGUGAAAGUUGACUUUGGAAGAAUGAAAUUAACUCUUAAGAAGGAGAACUCAAUAAUCACAAUAGUUGCAGACCUUGCUUUGACUAGGACAGAAUUUUCCUAUGGAGCUUGCAUGCAAGUGCUUGUAGAAGAUGGGGAAGGUAUGCUAUUGCACUGUGAUACAAGACAUAGUUUUAGUCAAGGAGAGAGAAUUCCAAAAAAAUUGAAGGGAACCAUGUAGUAGUACCAAGAUGUGUUCUAGAAUCAACAAGGGUUACUACCCAAUAGGAGGCAAGAUCGUGUCAUUCACUUGAAGGAUGGAGUUGGGUUAUGGUUUAAUUUCAAUGAUAACACCUCAACAGGAAUGUCUCUUUUCCGAGCUUUGUAUGGUAAGGAACCUCCUAUAUUGUUGAAGGCAGAGGCUAUACCUUCUAAGGUAGAGGAAGUAAAUAGGAUGUUUGCCCAAAGAGGUUAUAUCUUAGAAGAGUUGAAACACAACCUCUCCAAGGCGCAAAAUCAAAUGAAGAAACAGGCUGGGAAACACAAAAAGGUAGUGGAGUUUGAGGUAGAUGAUUGGGUGUACCUCAAGUUACAACCUUAUCAACUGAAAUCUUCGGUUGUCUGGCCUUAUUCUAAGUGGCUCCACGCUAUUAUGGCCAUUAUCAAGUGGUUAACAAGUUGGGAUCUGUAGCCUAUAAAUUAACUUUACCUGCUCAGGCUAAGAUUCAUCUAGUAUUUCAUGCGUCAUUCUUGAAGAAGGCUCUCAAGCCUCAUCAGCAACCUCAGCCACUACCACUUAUGCUGAAUGAGGAGCUUGAAUUAGAAGUCUUGCCAGAGAACAUUGCUGACAACAAAGAAGGUAAUUAGGGAAAUUUGGAGGUGUUGGUUCUAGGGCAAGAUCUUCUUAGCCAUGAUUGCACUUGGGAAAUGACAGCUAUUAUACAAGACAAAUUCUCAUACUUUCCACUUGAGGACAAGUUAAUUCUUUAGGGGGGAGUAUUGAUAAUAUUAGGCAUAAGCCUAGUAUUAAAAAUGUGUAUAGAAGGGGAAAUAAGAAAGUCUUGUUAGAGACUUCCUAAUUGUAACAUAUUUCCUAAAAUAUCCAUGAGUAGUUUUUUUUGUUUCCCACAUAUAUCCUUGUACUUGAGGCAAUCAUGUCCGAGCCGGGAACAUCAACAGGUAUGUGGGGCUAAGUAGUUAGUUGUUAGGUUUUCUAUAACAGUUUGUUAGUUAGUCUAUAAAUAGGGAACUAGCCUCUUGGAGAAGGGGGGGNNNNNNNNNNNNNNNNNNNNNNNNNNNNNNNNNNNNNNNNNNNNNNNNNNNNNNNNNNNNNNNNNNNNNNNNNNNNNNNNNNNNNNNNNNNNNNNNNNNNGGGUAAUUAGAAUUCUAGUCGUAAAAUCAGAGGAGGGUUGUGGAACCUAUUGUAUAAUAUCAAUUCUUGUUCUUCUUUCAUUCUGUCUAAUAAUAAUUUUGUUCUUCAUCCCAACCAAGAAUCGCAUGGAUUCUGAUUUAAGGUAUUAUUUUUCAUUAAUUCAUUUCUUUCUUCUUCAAUUUCAUACCAGUGUUUAUCACAAAGUCUCCUUAGCUUGGGUGCUAGAAUUACCCAUUGCAUGUGUUUGAAGGGUAGAACCAGAGAUAGGACCAUCUUUGACAAAGGUGAACCAAUGAAGUGGUACCACUAGGAAGAGUAAGAGUAGCAUAAAUAGUCACUUCAUUAUUCUGACAUAUUGUAGUCAAGCCAGACAUAGCUGAAUUGAGGUCAUUGUUGGCCCAUGAAACCCAUUUAUCUGUUGAGGUUAUUACAGUGUGUCUGAAUGCUAUGUCAAGUUUUCCUGUGGAUUGAUCAUAGGACCAGUGAAGGUAAGAUGUUAAGGGUGGAAGAUUACAACAUGUUGUGAAAACCUUAUUCUAAGUUAAGGUCUAUUCUUUGCAUGUGUGAGCCAAGGUUGCUACCAAACACAGGCCUUAGUAUCACCAUCAUUUAACUCUUUUCAUUUGAUCCAAAAAAUGUGUUUCAUCUCGAAAUUACACGGUUUACACAUAGAUUUAGAAAAUUGAAAUCCCAAAAUAAUAAAUUGUAUUAUAUUAUUAUUGAAAAUUAAAUUUCAAAAUAGUAGAUUGUAUUAAUUAUAUUUUGAAUGAUAAUAUAAUGAUACAAAAGAUAUAACAUUAACUCUUAUUUAUUCUAUUAGAUUCCUAAUUAAAUAAAGUAAAUCAUAAAAGAUAAGAAAAAUAGUUAAAAUCGUAAGAAAUCUUCGAAUAUACUUUAAACAACUCUAAUAUAUCAUAAUAUGUGAUGUUGUUAUAACAUAAUUUAACCUAUUCUAAAAUAUUUUUAUAUGUUGUAACCAAAAUAUUGAGAAUAUGUUUCAAAGAGAUAAGUUAAGUUUUUACUCCAUAAAAAUGCGUUAGAUCUUAAAAUAUGCACCGCAUAAUAUGAACUAGAUUAGGUCAGAUUAGAUUAGAUUUCUCAAGAAGCGUGUUGGUUCAACUUGAUUUGGUUUGUGAUCUUUUAUUAGUGAGUGCUAUAUAAUGUUACCAUAAAAUUUGAUGGAUAGUUAGUAUACUUUUAACAUAAAUCUUAUAUUAGUAUGUCAUCAUGGGUCUUUAAAACAUUCCAACUAAAUUACAUAUACAAAAAGUAAUAACCAGUUAGUUGAUUAUAAGCUAUAGUUUUGUUUGGAAUAUGCAUACACCUACUUAUUGAGGGCUACAAGAUAUUUGUAUUCUUUUGAAAAUGUUAGAGAAAAUAACAACCCAACUUAUAGAGUGAGUUGAUGUAAAAUGGUUGAAAUAGAAAUAUAUAUACAUGUUUUGUAUACUUAAUAAUACAACAACAACCAUAAAUCCUUAUUUCUAAUAUGUACUUAUUUUCACUCAAUACUCUUAGUAUCAUAGGCACAGAUUAGUCUAGUUUUGCUAAUAAUUUUUUUGUAUUAUUCUCUUUUCCCAUAUUUUCAUUAUUAUUCAGUUCGCUUGUUCCUAAUAAUUUGAUAUCUGCUGGCUCUUAAUCGAGUUGAUAAAUUUGAGGUAGGGAAGUUCGAUGGAACUGGUAAUUUUGGAUUGAGGCAAAAGAUGAAUUAAGGAUAUGUUGGCUCAACAAGAUUUAUCAAAAGUGUUGCCAGAGAAAAAACCGAAUGAUAUGGAUUAAGUGGAUUGGGAAGAGUUAAAGGAUAAGGUUAUAAGAACCAUAUGGCUCUAUCUAUCAGAUGAAGUGAGGUACAAGGUUAUGGAUUUAAUGUCACCAACAAAAGUAUUGGAGACAUUAGAGAAGCAAUUCAUGUCCAACUCUUUAACAAACAAGUUAAGUUUGAAACAUAGACUAUAUGGUCUCACAAUGUGGGAGGGUACUGAUUUUCAACAACAUCUCACACUUUCAAUCAAAUAAUUUAUGACUUGCAGAAACUUGAUGUGAAUAUAGAUAAUGAGGAUAAAGCAAUAAUUUUAUUGUGUUCUUUGCCCAAAACUUAUGAACACAUAGUGACAACAUUAAUUUACGAGAAAGACUCAAUCAAACUUAAUGAGAUCAUGAGUGCACUUCUAUCCCAUAUAAAAGAAGACAAAACAUAAAAGAAGGGUCUGGAGGCAAUGAAAUGUAUGUGAAAGAGAGUGAAACACGUGAGAUGAAGCAAAACAACAAAGGAGGUCAUGACAAGGGGAAAACUAAAUUUCAGGGGGCAAAACACCAAUACAAUGUUUAAGUGCAAACAAACUAGACAUUAAAAAAAAGAUUAUGCCAAUGAAUAGAGUCCUAACAAGCAGAUGAGGAAAGAUGUAGUAUACAUAUGCAAACAUCAUACAUAAAGUUGACUCGGAUUAUAAUAAUACAUAUAAUCUACUAUCUUUAUAAUCAACAAAUCAUGGAUACAUAAUAUUGGUUAUUCCUACCACAUGAUGCAAAACAUAGAAUGAUUCACCAUAUACAAGUAACUAAUUUUGCUUUCAUAUAUCUUAGAAAUAAUAAAAUAUGUGCAAUUGUUGGUGUGAGAAAAAUUAGAAGAUGGAUGUUGUUGGGAAAAUAUUAUAAGGUUAGACACAUCAAAAUAAAAACAUAAAAUUUUAUUUUUUCUUCAUUUAUAUUAUUUUUAUAUAAUUUAAUCCUAUUAUAAAAAACUUAUAAAUUAAAGAGUAAAUUACAAUGACACCCCCUGAGUUUUAGUGAAAUUAUACAAACCACCCCUCACUUUUCUACACCUACACAAACCUCCCCUAUUUUUUAACUUUCAUUACAUUGACCACCCCUGCAUAAGAAUUUUUUAAACAAAAAAUAUGAUAAAUGCAAUUAAGCUAAACAAAACAUGAUAUAUUGUGUAGACAAGUCUAAAUAAUAUACAAAUCAAUGUAUCUUUAUUAUUUUUUGUUACAAAAUGCAUCAACAAUUCUAAAGAAAUAUUGUUUAAAUCGCUCUUAUAAUAUAGUGUAACGAACCAAAAAUAAUAAAGAAAUAUUGACUCAUAUAUUAUUUGGUGUCUCCACAAUAUAUCAUGUUUUGUUUAGCUUAAUUGCAUUUAUCAUAUUUUUUGUUUAAAAAAUUCUUAUGCAGGGGUGGUCAAUGUAAUGAAAGUUAAAAAAUAGGGGAGGUUUGUGUAGGUGUAGAAAAGUGAGGAGUGGUUUGUAUAAUUUCACUAAAACUUAGGGGGUGUCAGUGUAAUUUACUCUAAAUUAAAAUAAGCAAAAGAAUAUAUAUCAAAUAUAAACAAAGAGCAACAGUAAACAUGGAAAAAUAGCAACUUAAAUUUAUGAAACAACUAGUUUUUAGUGCAGGUGAGGAAUUUGCACAUUGAAUCAAAGCAUGUUAAAGAUAAGUACAAUAUGUAUGGAAUGUUAAUGUAAAAAUUUAUAUAUAGUCACUAUAUCAUGCACCAUUCAUUUGAAUUAUUAUUUUUAUGAGUUAAUGAUAAUUAAAUAUAAAUGAUAGAUAGAGUAAUUAUAGAACUCAUACACCGUAAUACAUACAUUUUUUUCUUAUUAAAGAUUUGAACCCUAUAAUGAUGCAAUGUAAUUACUAAUCGUUUAUAUCUUAAUGCUAUAUAGCCAGAGGAGGCUAUCAAGUACAAUAAUUUUUUGAUUAUACUCUAAAUCUCUACAACCAUGCUUAAGUUAUGAUAUUGAGGACUUUGGACAUAUCCAAAUUCAAAGUCCUUAUUAAGAAAAUGUACCAAUCUUCUUCUAGUUUUCGGACAACUUCAGAACAUUUAGCACAUUAUUAUUUUUGGCUAAUAUAGAUCGCAUAAGACAAAAGCGUAAAGCUCAUCCUAUUUCACUUUCAAACUUGAAUUUCUUUUAUCAAACAUUCUCAUACAAAUGAAAAAACUGAAGCACACUCAAAUGUUAAAGGAGUAGAUCACAUAUUUUACCUAAUUUUUUUAAUACAUCAUCAAGCAAUCAUACAUUAAUCUUGGCUAAACUGACUCUUGCAUACGAUAAUAUAAAAAGUUGACCAUAAAGUAUAUAAAAAAAUAAACUCCAAUUCUGUGGUAGUGUGCACUAAAUAAGUAAAAAUAUAUCUCAGGAAAAGAAAUCUAUUGGAGCCGAAAUUUGUUUAGAAUUUCAGAGGUUCAGGUCAGGCCCACAAUAAACCCAUGUCUGACCCGUCUUAACCAUUAAUUCAUUUACAAGAUGUUUGGUUUAGAGAAGAAAAAUUAAGGGAAAAUAGUUGAGGAAAGAAAAAUUUAGAAAAGAAAAUUGGUAAAAAAAUGUAGUGAUUUUUUAGUUAUUUGAUAUGAUAGAAAAUAGAAAGACAGGGAAGAGAAAAUAAUAUAAUUUUUAUUAAUAAUGAUAUUUUUAUUGUAUAGGUAAGGAAAUAAUUCAUUUCAUGGUGUAUAACUGUCUUUGUCAAUAAGUGUCUAUAACAUGAAUCAAACCCUUGAUCUUUUUGUCUUUAUGUGAAUCUGCGAGAUUUUACAUCACUAAAUUAAACAUUGUUGUUUAUUAAUAAUGAUAUUGACAUGCAUAUAUUAGAUUGACUUCUUUAUAAUUUUAGGAAAUUAUCAACAUUUAUAAAUGUUACUAACACAAAAUAUAAUUUUUAAAUGUAUAGGAAGCUAGUGAUGAGAAAAUCUGUGAACAAUUUUCUUAGACAAUGAUCUAUUGUCCCAAAGUAUGUCCUAAACCAAUCAAAAUGUGUUAUGUCAAUUAAAAAAUUAAACAUUCAUUAUUUUUUCUAUUUUUCUUUCAUCAUCAUUCAUUUGGGACAAUCUAUCCUAGUCCAAUUUUUCUACUAGUUUUCCUCUCAAUAUUGGAAAGAAAACAUAAUGACAUGAGUCCCACCAUUUUUUCCUUCAUUCUUUCAAUGCAACCAAACAAUGGAAAAGAUUAUUUUCCUUCCCUUUUCAUUCCUCGCACGUUCUUUCCUUCAUUUUUCACCCCGAUCAAACAUAGUCUAUGUCUUCCUUUGGAAGAGUAGAAAAAGAGGAGAAAAUAAUGAGAUGAGAGAAAUUGAAGAGAAAUAAUUUAUUUCUCUCAUUUGGUUUGGAAGAGACUUUAAGAAGAGAGAAUGAAAAAGAGAGUGGGUCCAUCAUAUUUUUUUUCUCCUCUGAAGUAAGGAGAAAAUGAGAGGGGGAUAGUAAUGGAGAAAAACACUCUUUCUCUCAUUUUUCUAUUCAACCAAACAACAUAAAAAUCUCAUAUAUUUUUCUUCUCACUUUCUUCUCUCCAACCAAAGGAACCCUAAUGCUUUGUUUGGUAAUUUUAGUGUUGUUUAGUUGUAUAGAAAAAGAAGAGAAAGAAGUGAUUUUUCUCCACUACUCUUCAUUGGAUAGAGAUUUGUUGUCUCAAAUUAUCUUUCAAACUGUGCCGAAGAUCAAUGAAAAUAUUUUGUGUCAAUUAAAUAAAAAUAAAUGUUUUUGUUUUUUGUUUCAAUAUUAUUGAUACAUGACAUGAUUUGAGACAAAGUUUGGACAAUAGAUAUGAAUAUCUCUUCCCCUCCUAUUUCCUCCUCACUUGAAGGAGAAAGAGAUUUUGUAGGGGCAUCUCCUUUUCUCUCUCUCCUAAACCAAAUGAGAGAAAGAUGACAUUUCUCAUCAACUUUUCUCAUCUCACUCUCUUUCUCUUCUAUUUUUACCCUUCCAAAUGAAUACUAAAUGUUGAACAACACCUCAUUUUUUUAGUAGAAAACUUGUGUGAAACAUAUCCAAUAUGUCACAUUUAGAAAUAAGUUAUUUUUUUACUAUUAUUUAUGAUUAAAUUUUUUGUUAGAAUUAAACUUUCAAUAUGUUGAGUUUAUUAGUUUUCUUUAUCAGAAAAAAGUUUAUAUAUGAAGAGAUAAGUUAUCUUCUUGCAGCUACUAAAAUUAUAACAUAUAUCUUGUUUAAUUAUUUUUUUAUAAAAGUAUUUCUAAAACUACACAAAAUAGUAUACUUGUCAUAUUUUUACUGAUUUUAGAAGAUAAAUUAUUUUCUGAUAUAGAGAUACUUUAUUCUCUUUCUUUAUAUAUAUCUAAGUCUCGGCACAAGUUUUUAUCUCUUAUCACCUGGCAUUUAUUCCUCAGACUUCGCCAACCGUAAGUGACUCUUUUUGCACAUAAAAAGAGAAAGAGAAACGUGUAUUCAACACUAUUUAGCACAUCAUAUUUAAUUGUUUAUGAUAAAGUUUUUUAACGAUUAAUUAGAAUUAAAAUUUAUAUUGUUCAAUAUUUUAUUGAAUAAUGAAUAAUACUGGAUAUAUAUUUGUGGUCUCACUCCUUUGUAUUACUCUAUGUACUAAAAAAUAUAAUAAGUCAGAAAAAUAUUUAAUAAUUACAAUUUUAACUUAAAUAAUUAUUUUCAAUAAAUUAAAAAUAAUAAUAUAUCAAGUGACAGAAGGAGAACAAAUAUACUCCUAUAUAUACCGAUGCAAGAUUAACAUGACAAUCAUUAUUCUAAGUGAAAAACUUGCUCCAAAUCACUGACAUGACAUUUCAAUAAUUUCAUACCAAAUGACGAUCAUUACAAAAGUUAAAACAUAUACUUUCUAUUUGUACUACUACAUCUAUCGUUUAUCAUGAUUGAUGAAAAGAAUUUUAAUAAUUAAAAUUUUAACUAAACAUAUAUUCAAUAGUAACUAAUGGUUUAUGAAGUGAUACUAAAAACUGUAAUUGGUAAAAGAAAUGUUUAAUAAUUAAUUAUAUUUUUCAAUUAAUCAUAAGUUGUUGGACAUUAAAUGUGGUUAGCAUAUCCUCUAUCCUGAUUAGUUAGAGAAAUGUUUAAUAACUAAAAUUUUAAAUUAAAUAUUUUUUCAACCAAUUUUACUAAUGUUCAUGAGAAGAAAAACUUGUAUAAAGAUAUAUACUCUAUGUCACAAAAUUGUUAAUGUAUUAACAAUAUUUUAUUAGUUAUCUCCACAUACAUAUAUCUCUACCAAGUCUUUCUCUACUCAAGUCUCUAUUACAUAUACCAAUUUAUCUGCAACUAAUUAUGAUUAAUUAUUAUAUUUUUUAUUUAUAUAUAUAUUUUUCUAUCAAACACAUACAAUGACAUAGUGAGGAGACUCACUUUUGUAGAAGAGGAGAUAUGUUCCCCUUAAAAUAUCCUAAUCCAUCAACUCAGUUCGCACACCUUCCGACAGAAUAGCCACCGUCGACUUUCAUGGACCCCACCUUAUCUCACCGACUGUCACUACUACAAUGCUCACCGCUUCGUGAUUAUAGCUUACCCGGGACAACAUA